rnacentral:lncRNA from 1 species
UUCCUCGUUUGAUGGUAUUCGGGAUCCCAGUAACCCGGUGUUCCUACGACUCGGGUUGUCUUUGGCUCUCUAUUGUGGUGGACGAGCUUAGCCAAGCCGAAAUCUCCCAAUUUGGCUAUGAAAGCUUCAUUAAGCAUAACGUUGCUGGAUUUGAUAUCCCUAUGAAUCACACAUUGAGGCCAUUUUUUGUGCAGGUAGCGCAGUGCUUGUUGGAACACAACACCUAAUAUAAUAAUAAUAAGCCAAAGAGAAGUGUGCUGCAGCAUCACUUCGUAAACCGCCAAAGAAGAAGAAUUCUUGAAGAAGCCACAAGUUGAUUAAAAAAAGAAUGGACACAUUAAAAUAAUAGUAUAAUUGUUACCGGAGCCUUCAAGGAGCAGGAAGCAAAGUUCAACUUUGCUAGAACUUGGACGUGAAGGAAAAGCAGCCCACAAUUGUUGACUGUCAAGAAUAAAAGUUCAACUUCAACUCUUGCGCGUUGAAGACGGUAGAGUUCAGGCGGUGGAAGAUGUCUAUAAAUAGGGCUUGGGAGUGCAAACGUAAAUCAGGCCAAAGUGCCUCAAAGGAGAAGGCCAUAAGGCCUCAAGGUGAAGGAGCAGGCCGAAAGGCCUGGAAGAGAGGCUUAACAGCCUCAAGCCACCGCAGGCAGAGUAGGGAGGCCAGGGAGAGGGACUCACGCCACAUGCAGGCGAAGAACUUCAGGCCAGCAAGGAAGCCACACGUAUGUGAGCUUCAGGGAAAGCCUCCAGCAAUGAGAGCUUCGGAAUAAGAAGUCACCAGGUGCAACGGUGAACUUCAAGAGUGAGAGGCACUACAGCCUCAGAGCGAGUUAUCCCUCCGUGAUCGAGAAGGGAAGAAAAUAGAAUAGCUGAGUCUGUGCAUGUAUCAGCUAGUUGUUUUGAGUGUGUUACUUGUAUCAGCUUAUGGAGUUUAUUUUGAGUCUUAUAUUUUCGCAUAUUUUAUAAGCUGCACACUCUAUAAUUAAAUUUGAGUAGCAAAGGGUCGCAUACCCUACAAUUGGUUCCAAAUCCUUUUGGUUCCAACUGUGCUGAGGCUAAUCCCAAAGCGAUGUUGUACCUCCUUUCCCAUGUCAACAAGGAACUGCGUUUAAACAGAUGAUCGUACAAGUUACCCCCUCCAACGAAUUCGUAAACCAGAGCGAGUAUAUUCACCUCGUGACAAUAGCCUAUAAGUGUCACCAAGUUUUCGUGACUAAGUUGGCUCAUCGAGAUCACCUCAGAUAUAUAAUCCGUUAUCCCUUGGUGUGCACCGGAGAUUAUUUUCUUCACAGCUACCGGUGUGCGAGCUUCUCCUGUAUGCCCUUUGUACACGAUCUCGGAAGCUCCUUCUCCCAAUUUCUGGUUACUUGCAAAAGAAUUGGUGGCGAUCCUCAACUUAUCAUAGGAGAACUUCUGGGGUCCACCGUGGUUUGCUGACUCUUCCGUCAAUGUCGGUGCACGGGCAACCUCUGACCUAUCACGUACCCAAUCAACAACCUUCAUUGCCGAUUCGAUCAAUAAAACGAUGGUCAUGGAUGCCACCCGGAGCAGAAGCCAGUAGCUAAGCCAUGCCAGCCCCAAGAGCAAUGGCCAAAAGCUUAGCAAUGCCACCCAGAGCAAUCAAAAGCUAAGUAGUACUAACACUGAUACACGACACGUGACACGACUAGACACGACAUGCUGACACGUUGUAAUACACACACACACACACACACACACACACACACACACAAUUUGAAUCAAAUUCAUAAAUAAAUAAAUAAAUAAAUAAGCCAAGGAUAAAUAUACACUAAAAACAUAAAUCCGCCAUUUAUCAAUAUUAUUCAUUAUUUCAAUUUGACAAAUUCAACUCUAUUUCAAUAAUUCAUAAAACUUGGAGGAAAAACAAGCGAUCCAUUUUCUAGACUCGUGUGUUAGAUAUGUUGGAAGAGGAGAAAAAAAAAUUUAUGGGGUGAAUUGUGUAUCAUGGGAAGUGGGAAUCCGAAGAGAAGAGAAAAGAAGACUAGGUAAUUUUUCUUUCUCAAUUUAUUAUUUUUAUUAUUGUGUUUUAUUUUCAGUCAUAUAUAUUUUGACCUCUCAUUUAUUGAAUUUUUAAAAUUGAUUUCGAUAUCGAAAUCACGUGUCAGAAACUCGUAUAUUAGAAUUCCGACUCGAGUGUCGAGAAAGUUGACUAGGUGUCAAAUUUUCUGACACGUGUUAACUAAGUGUGGGAGAGUGUCUGAAAGUGUCCAAAAGUGUCGGAGAGUGUUGGACACGUGUCGAAGUGUCUGACAUGAUACGAAAGCUCUCGAAGAGUGUCAGUGCUUCAUAGAUCGAAAGUAACCAAACAAUGCCACCUAGAGCAGUCCCAAAAGCCAUCUUCAUAAAGGAUGACGAUGAGAAGCGCCAAUGCAACAACAGUGGCAGCUACGGAAACAUCAUCAUUAUCUCUAGCAAAAAUGAACACAUCAACUGUCAGCAACUAAUUUUACAGCUAUUCUCAAUAGAAUGUCUAAUGAGAAACCAAGUUUAUUUUUUUGGCCACUACCAAGAGGAAAGUUUGCAUGGCUUUGAUGGCACCUCGAAGAAAAACUUCAUCCAUGUCUAUUUGUCUAUGACCACCCAUAAGGUCCGUUGGAAAUGGUGAUCCAUUUUCUAGAAUUUCCUAGAGUUGCUAAAUUGCAAUCUAGAACUCUCUAGAUGAAGUUUUGGAUGGCUAAAGAUUGUGGCUGGAAAUUGUCCAACAUGUACGAAGCAAACAAUCUCUAAACAAAUAAGAGAUCUAAUGGUGGCUGCAAGAUGAAGCCUACGUGGACAACAUUCAAGAGAAGUCCAUAAUCCUCUAAGGCGGUUGUACAUAGUCCGUGGAAAUGCCUGUAAAAAGGCCGUAACUCAUUCAUGUAAUUGGGGUGAGAGAAGCAAGAAAAUAAACUCUAUAUCAUGGAGCUCCUCCGCCAAUACUUCCUCCAACUAUUGUAAAAACGUCUUUUUAUAAACCUUGUUCCAUAAACCUUCUCAAAAUAUGCUACCUUUGCCCAUCCUUUGUCAAAUGCAUACUACACACAUACACACAUUCAAAUACAAACUAUACCAUGCUUCUGCACACACUAAAUUUUUAACAUGGUAUCAGAGGUAGGUACGUUUGGAUGGUUUUGAGUGUUUGUCCUCACCAUCCUCAACUAAAAUCAAGGCUAGAGCUCAAGCCUGAGCAAGAGCCAAUAGAGCCAGAGCCGAAGUCGGAGCCAGAGCCAAACCCAAAGCUGUUGUCAAAGCUAGAGCCUACGAGAGCCAAAACCAAAGUCUGAGCUAACAAUUACAACUAAGAACAUUUUGAUGUCCCAAGACAUAUGGGACAUUGUUGGAAAAAAGAUAUGCUGAUUUGAAGAAAAGUGCAAGUGUUACAACAAAAGAUGUGAGGGAUCAUGGAAUGAAACCAUGGAUAGGCAUGAGACAAAUUACAAUAAUAAUUUUGAGGUACGUCCGAGACAUUAAAAAAUAUACUCACAAUACUACUAAAAUGGAUCAAGGGGGAGUGUUAGAAAUGGUGAUCCAUUUUCUAGAAUUUCCUAGAGUUGCGAAACUGCAAUCUAGAAUUCCCUAGAUGAAGUUUUGGAUGGCUAAAGAUUGUGGCCGGAAAAUGUCCAACAUGUAAAAAGCAAACAAUCUCUGAACAAAUAAGAGAUAUGAUGGUGGCUGCAAGAUGAAGCCUACGUGGACAACAUUCAAGAGAAGUCCAAAAUCCUAUAAGGCGGUUCUACUUAGCGGGUGGAAAUGCCUAUAAAAAGGCCGUAACCUAUUCAUGUAAUGGGGUGAGAGAAGCAGGAAAAUAAACUCCAUAUUAUGGAGCUCCUCCACCAGCACUUCCUCCAACUAUUGUAAAACCUCCUUUUGAAAUUAUAUUUAUCCCAUAAACCUUCUCAAAAUAUGCUAGGGGGUGGUCGUGUUCUGUCCUGAUUCUAUUCUAGAACAAGUCUUGGAAAUGAGAAUAGGUAAACUGACCGGUCCCGAUGUGAACUGGUUUUGAAUUAGUCGAGUAGACCUUAAUACAAUCCAAACAAGUACAACUUAACUUCCCCUAAAUGCUAAGAGAGCUACCACAUAAGAAUCUCCUCAAGGACCCCCACGGGUCAACGUCCAAAUGCUAAUACAUUUCAGUAGAAUUCAACCUAAAUCCAUCAAUUACAUGAAAGACAAAACAUUGUUGCAGUGCCUACUACUCGUACAUUUCACGAGUGAUCGGCAAACGUGAUCUCCACUCCAGUAUAAUAGCUCUCACAUGGCAUUGAAACAUAAGACUCCAAGCAAAAAAUGAACCCAGAAAUGGAAUGAAACUAUAUGCUAACUUGGUUUAGCCAUUUCAACAAACACAUGGUGAGCAGCGAGUUGGGAUUAGUAACAACGCAUCAACAGUCCAGAGGUGCCCAGACUCUCAAAAUAGGAAAUUGCGCACCAACCUUGAUAGUCAUCCAUGGUUAGGCUCUACACAAUCAAGCCUGCGAUCCAAGUCGAAAAGACGUUAAAAAACAAACAACUCGAAACGGGAAAAAAUCGUCAGUGCAAGCCGACGCACGCAAUGAAGCAUCAAAUUGGAACUAGAGACUAAACGCGAAUUAGCAAUUCCAACAACCGUGAACGUCACGACAGACAGCAAAAGUAGGAAAAAGGCAAACCCGAAGCAUGGCAUCUCCAGUCUCGAGCCACCAAAGCACGGGUAAAAAACCAGACUCAACAACAGGGGAGGGGAGGGAAACCACGAGAAACGAAGGAGAAACCAUACGGAUCGUGAGAAAUGCUGGACCCACUCCGCAAUUUGCAGUUUCCGCAGGAGCUCCUCCGCCAGCUACAGUCCAAGACCACCAACUCCCCCCUUCCUCACCGGGAACACUGGGCUUCGGGAGUGAGGGGGAAAGAGGAGAGACGAGCCUGCAGAGGAUGAGCAAAGGAAAAGCGCAGUCAAGUGAGCGAAGAGCGUAGUCGAGCGAAGAGUGCAGUCGAGCGAGAAGCGGUCGUCACGAGGGAGAGAGCGAUGGAAGGGUGGGAAGAGAAUGAGAUCUAGGUUUUUUGUUUUCGUUUUCAAAAUGGGCAAAAGUGGCUUUUCAAUAAAGUUUUGAGGGCAAAAUAGGCAACUUACUAUUUUUCAUUAAAUGAGCCCUUUAGCAUUCCCAAGGGUCGACUUUCACUUGAAAGCCCCUUGAAGAAUGGUUGCCAAACACCUCAAUUUCGGGUGAAAGGGCUUUGGGGCUUGAGGGGGCUUUCUAAAUGCCCAUCCAAACGCACCCAACCUCCAAUCAGGUCCCAAAUUACCUGCACAUCGGGUCACACAACCCGAUUUCAACCCGAAGCUCCAAAAAACACACACUAAGUUGAUUUUUCUUGAAAUUUCUCCAUGGGACUUGCAUAUAACAUCAAUAUAAUUGACUAGAAUGAAUUAAACAAAGAACAAACAAGAAAAUCUUCAUAUUCAAGCUUCAAAGUUUCGGAUCUAAACCUCCCAUGGCCGAAUUUUAAAUUUCUCAAGUUUAAGCCCAAAAAACUUACCGUAAUGCAAGAAAAAGAUAUUAAAACAUAUAUAUAACAACACCCAUGCAAUAAUUUAUAAUAAAAAAAACCAUCAACCAAUUGCAAGUAAUUUGAAAAUUAUAGAAUUUUUUCAUGUAUAAACCCUAGAAUUUAAAAUUUAAAAUUUUCUCUUAAUUCUCAACGAAAUUAUACAAAUUAUACAUGGUUGGAAAGAUUUUGACAUGUAAAACAAAAGCCCUAUGAUUUCAGGAUCAAUCGAGCAAAAAUAUCCACAUGAAAAAUUAAUGUCCAUAUUUGGCUAAAAAAAAAAUCGAACUUGUUCAUAAAAAAAAAAAGGGUUCUACAAUCAUAUAUGUAGCUCUUAUACCACAUGUUGAAAAUUAUUCACAUAAACAACUUAUUAAUCAAGAAGAAUCGGAUCCAUAUAUGACUAUAAAACACCAAAAUCGAUAAACACAACGGAAUUAAAGCGUAACCAUUGCUUCACUUGAAGAAAAAUAGAUCACUCUAAUAAUUAGAAAUCUAUUCAAAUGCAAAUCUUUCUCUCUAUAACCUACUUCAGUAUAGCAAUUUUCAAUGGGAUUCAAGCAACUAAUAGGUAUAACCUAUCAUUUUAUAGGCUAGAGAGGGGACCUAGUAAAUCCUAAUCAACAAUGUGUCAAUUGGGUCAUUCCCAUUAUGGGCUUCAGUUAAAUAAAAUUGUCUACACUUUGCUGCUCAACUAGACCCAUUAUCAAUAGAUGCCAAUACUCAAUUCAAUCAGAUCACUGUAGAGUUCAACCAAUAUUGAAAUAUUCAUUAAUCCGAUCCUUUAAAAUAGAAAAUUAAUUAAUUAACGUAAACCCAUAUUAUAAAAAAUUUCCAACAGUAUUUUUAAAGAGUAUAUCCGAAGCUGAGAAGGGUUUGAGCAGAGACAAUCCCCGUUGGAAACACAGGUAGCCUCGACAAACAGCGUGUCGCUAAGAAAGGCAACAGAAUGUGGUCGAUUGCUGGUUGUAAUGUCUGGUUCAUUCUACUGGGUGAUGGAUUAAAAAAUAAUCAAGAGCAUCAUCACACAAAACCAAGUGCAUUUAUUAGAAAUAUGAUGGUAUGUCUAUGCGUGCGUGUAGUUAGAUCAAUGAUAUUAUAAUGAAUCAAGUCUUCUUAUUGUCUUAUUUAUUGAUGCGAAAACAAAUUAAAUAUUGAAGAAUUGAGUUCUGCCAUUUUUUGUUUUUAUCAGUUUAAUGGCAAUCGCCAUGUCUCUGAGGUAGGACCUGUGAGAUGGGUGAAUUGGCAGAAUUCUAACGUGUUGCCCUCAAACACGAGUAUUAACAAGUUUCUUAAGAUCCCUUUUUCGAAUAAUUUAUUGGUGAUGUACCAAUAGUUUUAUGAAAUUGCCUACUUUUAUAGUUUGCAUAUUACCAAUUUUUAGACCAAUCAACCAACUUUUAUUCGGGUAGCUUACUAAGUUUCUAAUGUACUAAUUCUUAUAUAAAAUUAUUAAUUUAAAUUAGAGUGACUCACUAACUCUUGUCAUAUUAUGUUACCAAUUAAUUUUAGGUUAACUACUUUCAUUUGAUUCUUUUUUUAAUUUACUAUAUUUUUUUAUUGAGUUACUAACUUGUAUUUCCUUGAUCGGUAACCCCUUAUAUUAUUAACUUUUUUAAGAGAAAACCAACCUAAAAUUAGCAUGUAUUGGAAGCUUUUCUCUUUAAACUACCACACAUAAAUGGGAUAUCAUCUUAUUUGAGUUACAUACGGAAGUUUAUUUAUAUUUUUUUUUUCAAUUUGCUUACUUUCCUAUUGAUUACAAACUUUUUUCUUUUUUUUUUUGCAUUUCUUAGUAACGCCUCAAAUACAUUGUCUCUUUUACACAUUACUGACGUUAAUUACAUUGACUCAUUAAUUCUUCUCUGAUAAAAUUAACGAUUAAUUUUGAGCUACCAACUUUCAUUUGAGUCAUUUAUUAAGCUUAUUUUUAUUUUAAUUACCAACUUUUCUUAUCUUUAUUAACUUAUAUUACCUCUUAACUAUGUCUUAAAUUUACUAGCUAUUAUAUAGAAUUAUUAAAUUUUUUAUUUAUACAUAAACAUUUCUCCGAAAGGUAAUAAAUUAAAUGGCCAUAUGAUAAGAGAAGCUUCUCAAAGAAAAAAGAAUUUGGUAAAUUUAAGAAAAAAAACGAAUAAAAUUUUGUAACUAAUUGAAAUAUAAGUAGGUUACCUAAUACCAAUUGGUAAUUCAAUUGGAGAAAAUAUUGUAAUUGCUCUAAUCGAUGUUCUCCUGAAGAGUUGAGGAUUGUCACCAAUUCUUUUGCUAAUUUUAUAGCUAAUCCGUUUCAGUUGCUAGUCUCAUUUUUUGCUGAUUUGGAUAUUCCACGAGAUGAGCUUUAGGCGACCAGAAGAUCCAGAAUCAUCAAACAUCGCUAUAUUAGUCAGCUUCAUUAUCCACAAGUUCCCCUUAAAGCCAUUUUCAUAAAUUUGUUUCCCGAUGACAAACAAAUUAACUUUUAGAAGGAAUGGAUGAAAUUAGCAGUAGUUUUCCCUUAAGCGGCAAACAAUGAAUAUGUAUCCAACGAAAUGGAAAAUUAUGAUUAGAUAUUUAAAUAAGCUGGUGAUACUUCAGUAUCCAACAAAAAAUUUGUUGCAUUUCUAACCAUCUACUCUUUUUAGGGAUUUGGAAUUGAGUAGUCUAACUUACAUAUUGUAUGCUUUUGGGUCAUUUGACAUUUCAUAUGUACAAUUUGUUUAUUGUAAAUAUAAGUUUACAUCAUCCUUGAAAAAGUAUAAAUUUGAGUUUGAUCGCAAACUCAUCGGUGUAGAGAUUUGUAUUAUAUUUAUAAUAUGUACAUGAGUGGGAAAAUCACAAUAAUUUUUUUUUUUUUACAAAGAUAACAAUGUACAACAUUAGUAUAGAUUGGGAAAGAUUUGCUUUAUCAAUAGAAUUGGCACAAAUCGUGGAAUAUCGGCUCAAUCAAUGGGAUUGGCACAGAUUGUAGAAGAUUGCUCUAUCAUGGAAGAUUUGCUCUAUCACACCCUCUCAAGCGAAAUGGUGGUGGAGUCACUAUGAGCUUGUCGCGUAAAAUAAGAAAUCAAGAUAUGGAUAGAGGCUCUGUCAUGACAUCAACCAUUUGAACCUAUGUAACAAUGAAGUAAACUUCUAACUACUUCUUGUUUAUUAAAUCACAAACAAAAAGAUAGUCAAUUUCCACGUGCUUGGUUUAGGCAUGAAAGGUGGGAUUUGCAGCCAGAUAAUUGCCCCUACAUUAUCCCAAAGAACAAGUGGUGAUCGAUGGAGAGUGUAUCGAAGAUAUCGUAGGAGUUGUAAUGGCUAUAAUAAUUCAAAGGCUGCAUUAGCCACCCCUUUGUAUUUAAUGUUGGAUCGAGCAACAAUUGGUUGCUUUUUAGAACUCUAAGAAACCAAGUUGGGACCAAAAUAAAUGCAAUAGCCACUAGUAGAUUUUCGGUCAUCAAGGUAACCAGCCCAGUCAACAUCUGUAAAUGCAAUGAAGCUCAGUUAGCAUAUGGGUCGCAAGGUAAUCCCAUAAUGAAUAGUAGCUUUGAGAUGGCGCAAAAUCCUUUUGACGGUUGACUAAUGAUCAAUGGUUGGACAAUGCAUAAAUUGACACACAUUAUUGACAACAAAUGAUAGAUCUGGCCUAGCAAGAAUGAGGUAUUGCAAUGCCCCAACCGUACUCCAAUAAAUGGAGACAUCAGUCAAUGGUUCAACACUUUGUUUUGACAACUUAGAAGCCGAGGGAGCCAUAGGUGAUGAGCAAGUUUCUGCAGUAGCCAUGCUUGUAUGAGUGAGAAGAGCAAUGGCAUACUUGGAUUGAGUAAGGGACAGCCCAAUAGAUAAUCUAUGGGCUUCAAUGCCGAGAAAGUAUGAUAGAAUUCCCAAAUCAGUGAUUGAAAAGUCAAUGCCAAAUUGAGUGUUUAAUAUGGUGAUGGAAGAGGUAGAGCUCCCAAUAAUGAUAAUAUCAUUACCAUAGAUCAGAAGAAGUAGAAUGUGGCUAGAUCGAUGUUGUAUGAAUAUUGGAGAAUUAGCAAUGGAGGCCACAAACCCAGUAGAUGAUAAAUAUGAACUUAGCCGAGAAAACCAUAAUCUUGGGGCUUGUUUUAGCCCAUGUAGAGCUUUCCAAAGACAACCUACAUGGCAAGGAUAAUGCAGAUCAACAAAUCUUGGGGUUGCUUCAUGUAGACUGCUUCUUUAAUGGUACCAUGGAGAAACGUGCUCUUAAUGUCCAAUUGGUGUAGAGAUUAGUUAUAUGUGAUAGCUAAGGAGAGAACAACUCGAAUUUUUGUCAAUUUGAUAACAGGAUGGAAAGUUUCAUCAUAAUCUAAGUUAGCCUGUUGAGUAAAGCCCUUCGCAAUGAGUCAUGCUUUAUAUCCAUCAAUGGAACCAUCAGACUUGGUUAUUAAGUGAUAAAUCCACUUGCAAUUGACCACAUUCAUAUAAGGGUGAUGAGGAACCAAUUUCCAAGUGCCACUUUGAAUGAGAGGGUUAAAUUCACUGGCCAUAGCUUAUUGCCAGUUGGAGUCUUUGUUUGCAAUGGAAAAACAAGUGGGUUCGCUUGGUGUCAAGCUUGAGUGAAAAUAAGAAAAAGGUGGAUGCUUAGUGGAGAGAAAAACCUUUGGUUCAUGAAUGUUAUUUUUCAUACGAGUGACCAUUGGAUGGGUAGGAGUUGGCGGUUGAAGUUGAGAAGAUUGUAAUGGUAGAGCUUCUAGAAUUGUGGAGGUAGAUGAUUAUUGAAGAUGUGAUGAGGAGUCGUCCAUGAUCGUAGAUGGACUUAAUGGAGUUGAUUUUGAGGCGGACACUCCUUAAAAUUGUGGGGACUUAGUAGAGGAAUAACCAAUGCAAAAAGAAGAACUAGGCGAUUGUGAUGACAAAUGACCAUAUAGUGGUUUUAGUAAAUGGCAACAAAUCUUCCUCGAAAAUCACAUGGCAAGAGAUAUAUAUUCGGCCAGUGCUACAAUGAAGAACAACAAUAGCCAUGGUGAUGAGGAGAACAACCAAUGAAGAUACAUUGCAUUGUUUUGUCAUCAAGUUUAUUGCAAGUAUAAGGGUGCAUCCAAGGGUAGCGUGCACGUCCAAAAACACGCAGCUAUAAAUAAUUGGGUUUCUGACCAAACAAUUUCUCAUAAGGAGACGAUCCACUCAACACUUUGUAUGCAUGUGGUUAAUCAAAAAGACCAUAGUGAGGAAAGUAUCAUUCCAAUAUAUACAAGGAGCAAAAGCCCAGGUGAGUAAUGUGAUGCCAAUUUCCAUAAUGUGAUGGUAUUUGCACUCAGCCCGACCAUUUUGUUCCUGCGUGAGCAGGCAUGAAACAAGAUGGAGGAUGCCAAGAAGAUGGGAGAUAAGGAUCAAAUUUCUUACACUCACCACCUCCAUCAAUUUGAAGGGCCUUGAUUUUACAAUUGAAAUAUUUUUCCACUUGGGAUUUAAAUUGUACAAAUGUAGAUAGCAUGUCAAAUUUCACAAUAAGUGGAAAAAAGCCAUGCAUAUCCAUUAUAAGCAUCAAUAAAAAUGAUAUAAUAACGAAAACCAUUCACUGAAAUAACAGGAGAUGGUCCCCAUAUAUCUUAAUAAAGUAUCUCCACAAAAGCAUUAUAAGUAGUUGAUGAUCUAGUAAAGGGAAGACGGCGUGACGUGCUCAGGUGAUAUGAUUCAUAGAAACUAGAUGAGGAAGAAGGAGAUAUUGGCAGGCCAUGCUUUGAAAUAACUGAAGAAGUAACGUGAGCAGUUGGAUGAUCUAAGUGCUUAUGCCAAAUAGAAGCAGAAACUCAUUCAUCAAUGAAGUAGGAUGGAGCUGGCAGAGAUUUUUUUAACAGUAGAGGGACCUUAUUGGUGGUACGUGCAUUAUUAAGAAGAUAAAGUCCAUUCUUAGGUUGCCUUUAAGUAAGAGGUUCCCCGAGGAUCGUUCCUUAACACAAUAGAACGUAGGAUGAAAUUCAAAUGCCACAUCAUUGUUUUUGGUAAAUUGAGAAGCUAAUAAUAGAUUCUUCUUCAUAGAUGGAACGUGAUAUACAUUGUGUAGUUUAAAGAACUGGUAAGGGAAUGUAAGAUGGAAGAACCGAUAUAUGAUAUUUACAAACCUAACCCAUUUGCAGUACAAAUUUGAUCAAUGCAAGAAUAGUCGCUUCGAAUGUUCAAAUUUUCCAUGUCGGUUGUAAGAUAAUGAAUGGCACCAAAGUUUGGGUACUAGUAUGGGUCAAACGACUCACCGGCUGAAGAGGCAUACAUUACAAAUAGAGAGCCGAUAUUAGCUUUAUAGCCAGGAUUAAAUCGCUAGUAGCAUUGGAGAGCUGAGUGACUUGCAUCACCACAAACCUGACAAAUGAUUCGAGAAUGAGAGGAAGCUCCUUCAUAAAAAUUGUAACCACAACCUCAAUCACAUCCUCAUCCUAUACUACGUCCUCAAUCAUUGAAGGGAGGAUUCAGGGCAACAAAUGAUUUGACUACAACAUUCACAAUUGGAGAAGACUCUAUUGAAGAUUCAAUAGUGUAGCUGUAAAGAAUAAUUUCCCAAUUGUAAAGCAGGCCAAGGAAGUCAUCAUGAGGUAGUGGAUCAAGACGAAAUAUGACUGAGGUAAUGGAUGCAUCAUACUUCGAACCCAGGCCAUCAAGGAUGCUGAGAACCAAUUGGGAAUCGGAGAUAGGAUGAGCAGCGGCAAAAAGUUGAUCCACAAUGUUCUUGUCUUUUUUAACAAAGGCUUCCAUGGAAAGAGAGCCUUUCUUUUAGAGAUCGAAGCUGAUAUUCUAAUUACAUUAUGAGAGCUUGAGAUUGAGGGGCAUGAAGUUUCUCAAGCGAGGUCCAAACAUCAUGAGAAGUCUCAAGAUCAUCAAUAUGUGAAAAUAAAUUCAGUAAGAAUGGAGAGGAUGCAACAAAGGAUAAAUUUAUCUUGAUAAUGCCAUGCACUAUGGUUCGAGCUAUCGAUCAUAAUAUUAUCAGCAUCAGUGAUAGUGGGUCCUAGAUAAGGAUAUGAGCCAUUGACAAAUUGAAGAUACCUAUGAAGUCAAAAGUAAAGGAAGAAACUGCACUCGCCACAUAAGGUAAUUGUUGCGAUCCAUCUUGAUUUGGAGAACAUGGGAUAUAUUACUGAGAGCAAAAGGCAGUUGGGAGAGGAAUAACAAGGAUGAAGAGUUUACAACGGUGAUGGUAGUAAUUGCCUUUGAGACGGUAAUAGUGUUGGAGGAUGUAUAAGAACACAUUGUAGUGGAGAAGAGAAAUAAGAUUGGAAAAAAUUGAGAAGCUUUGACACCAUGAAAAAGUAUGAAUUGAGUUUGAUCGCACACUUAUCGGUGUGGAGAUUUGUAUUAUAGUUAUAACAUGUAUAUGAGCAGGAAAAUCACAAUUAAAAAAGAUUUUAAAAGAUGACAAUCUACAAUAUUAACACAAAUCGUGAAAGAUUUGCUCUAUCAAUCGAAUUGGCACAAAUCACGGAAGAUUGGCUCAAUCAAUGGGAUUGGCACAUAUUGUAGAAGAUUGCUUUAUCAUAGGAAAUUUGCUCUAUCAAUCCUUCCUUAGCGGAUGAUCACUAAUUCCCUUAAAAGUAAUGCUGUAGACUCAUUUUAUUAGAAAAAUUAAGCAAUAAUGAUGUCGCAAUCACUUGAAUUUUUACGCGUUUUACAAUUGAGUACCUCAACUAUUUUCAUUUAUGUACUAAGGCCCCAUUUGGUUUAGCUUUUUUAAGAGAUUUUGGGCCCCUAAAGCCCUCUUGGGAAAAAUACUAAGCGUUUGGCAAGCAUUUUAGGAAGUUCGUUAGCCAAAUGUUAGCAUUGGAUAUGCUAAAAGCUUAAUGUAAGUCUGGACCUGCUUUGAGUAUUCGGCAUAUUGAAAUGCAACUUGCACUGUUCAUCUUCUUCCCCGUUCAUCUUCAUCUUGCCCAAUUUGCCGCUUAAAGUCGAGCUUCUCCGAUGAUCACCACCAUUACCUAGGGGUCGUGCAUCCCUGGCAACCAUCGCCUGGGGUGGCGCAACCCAUGACCCCAAGUGACAUUGCAUGGAUCCCCGCAACCUAGGCAACGUCGCCUGUCCACGCAACCUCAAGUGACGGCAUCGCUUGAGGUCGCGACCUCAGGCCGCCAAAUCUAGCUAUCCGAAGGCCAAAUUUGAUUGUCCAAAGGCCAGACAUAGCCUCCACGACCUCAAGCAGCGGCGUCACUUGAGGUCGCAAUGUCAAGCCGCUAGAUCUGGCCAUCUGAAGGCCAAAUUUAGUGGUCUGGAGGCUAGAUCUGACCUUCGCGACCUCAGGCUGUGACAUCCUGAAAUUCGACCCCGUUUCGAUAAAGUGAAAUGGGCAUUUCGUCAACGUGUUUACGGUCCUUUUUCUCUGAGCUAAUCACUCACGAGUUAACUAACUUAUUGAGUGAAGCCAUUAAGGGGUGUAUCUGCAGUAAAAUCCCUAAAAGCUACUCAAUUUGUUGGAUUGGACUAAAAUCACGUCUGAUCGAUUUUUAACCACGAAAUUGAACUCGAUUUCGGGAAUCGAAUUUUAAGCGCGCCAUAAUUCCUUUUUAGGACCUUGUCUCAUCGUUCGUCAAUUUAUUGACGAGUCCGAAAUUUCAAUAAAGAAAUUAUCGGAGGAAGAAUUGAAGACCAAAAGAAAAUAGAAAGGGAAAGAGAAAAGAAAAUAGGAAUAAUGUUAUUAUUUAAUUUCUUUUCUCUCUCUCUCUCCCUUUUCUCUCUUUUUUCUCUCUCUUCUCUCUCCUCUCCCCUCCCCCUUCGUGUGAGCACCCCACCGAACACACCCUUGCCAAGUUCAAUUUUACUUUCUCUUCUCUCUCCUCUUUGACUAGUCAAAACUUCUCUCUCUUAUCUCUUCUUCUCUCUCCUCUCUCUUCUCCCUCAUCCCACGUGAUCUUCUUCUUCUUCGUUCUUCUUUGUGCGAACGAGACCAAAACCAGCAAAGAAGAAAAUUAGCUCGCCGAAGCUCAUCACCGCUGCACCGGAGCCGGACCACCACCCGCGCAACACUCGCCCGCGCACGCCGCGUGCUCCGCCACCGCCCCUUCACGUGUGCCGUCCUCGCCGUGCACCAUUCAGCCUCUACUCAGCCCGUGUUCCGCCCCGUCCGGCCACCUCCGGCCACUGUGGGCCACCGCUCGGCCUCGCCAAGCCACCACCCGCUCUCCCGACCUCUUGCCGCCCCCAACCCUCUCUCUUUCUUGCUGUUUUGCGGCCGAACCAGCAAACCCGCGAGUGGGUUUCCAGCCGGUUCGUGGGCCGUUUUGGGCCGUUUCCAGGCCCCGGAUGCGCAAGUCGCUUUGGGAAGUUUCGUUCCUCGCGUCGCCCCCGUCGGAUUGAUCCGAUUUGCGUGCGAUUUGGUGAGUAAUCUCACUAAUCUUGGAUUAGUUGGCUAAUUAUGCUUAAGGUUGGUUUAGUUUUAAUUAAUUGUGUUUAGGUUGUUAGAUUAGAAUAAAUUAGCAAUUAUUAGUCAAUUGUGAUGCGAUUUAGAUAAAUUGAUUGUGCAAUUAGUAAGUAGACGUGGUCUACUAAUUAUUGGAAGUGCCUCGGGAUUUUUCCUGACCCUUAGUGGGCUUCAAUUAGGCUUUUCGGGCCUAAGUGGAUUUUUUUAGUAUUUAAAUAUUAAUUUUCGGAAUUAAAUUAAAUAAUUAUUUAUUUUUCGAAAAUUUAACUGAGUUGAUUCGGAACUGGAAUUUUAUGCUGAUGACUGUGGUGAAGUCUAUUUAUUUAACUGAGCACCAAUUUGAGCUAAAUUGGAAUUAUUAUAAUUAAUUUUUAAUUCUCGAAAUUAAUUAAUUAUUUAUUUAUUUUUCGAAAAUUCAAUUGAGAUGGCCCGUGACCGGAAUAUUAUGCUGAUGAUGGUGGUGAAGUCCGUUUAUUUAAUUGGGCCUUAUUUUGAGCUAAACGAAACUUUUAAUAUUUAAUAAUUAAUUUUCGAAAUUAAUUAAUUAAUUAUUUAUUUUUCGGAAAUUAAGUUUGAGAUGGCCGACGACUGAAAUCUCGUGUUGAUCGUCGUGGCACAGUCCGUUUAUUUAAUUGAGCUUUAAUUUGUGCUGAAUUGAUUUAAUUGUGGAUAAUUACUUUAGAAAUGGGAUGAAUCAUCAUGAAAGGCACGUGGCUCGGUGAAUAGUACGUCAUCUCGGAGAAUGCACGUGGCUCAGUGAUUUGGUAUAUCACUUCGGAGAAUGCACGUGGCUCGAUGAUUAGUACGUCACCUUGAAGAAUGCACGGAGCUUGAUGAUUAGAUAUUUCACCUCGGAGAAUGCACAUGGCUCGGUGACGAAGUAUGUCGCCUUGGAGAAUGCAUGUGGCUCGGUGAUUAAGUGUGGCAUCCUAAAAGAGACACGUGGGCUCGGUAAUUUGAUGCAUUACCUCGGAGAAUGCACGUGGUCUCAAAGAGUACAUUUGGCAUCUAAAAGGACACGUGGGCUCGGUAAUUUGAUGCAUUACCUCGGAGAAUGCACGUGGUCCCAAUGAGUACAUUUGGCAUCUUGAAGAGACACGUGGGCUCGGUGACUUGAUGCAUCGCCUCGGAGAAUGCACGUGGGCUCGCUGAUUCAAAAUGGCAUUUUAAAGGGCACGUGGGCUCGGUAAAUUAAUGCAUUACCUCGGAGAAUGCACGUGACUCGGUAAUUGGUUUUAUCAAUUGAGACUGUAUAGCAAUAGCUUGAAUGACCGGGAAAUGGUCAGACUGAUAUGUAAUCGACUAGGUCGAUUGAUCAUUGAUUUGAUUUGAUGUCGUGGAUUGAUUGACCGAUUAGAAAUGACCGUGAGAGGUCUUGUUGGCAUAUAAUCGACUAUGUCAAUUUGAUCGAUGCUUCGAUCUGUGUUAUGAUUGCUUGGGUGCCUAUUAUGAAUUGUACUGACUUGCAAGUGGGAUCUAAGACCAAGGUAAGUCCUCUGCUCUGUGCGUGUUUAAGCAGCCUGUAGUAUAAUGGUUUACUAAUCGGGCUUAGUGGGUAGAACUCGCUAAGACGUAGUCUCAUCCCAGUUUGGGGAAAAACAUUUCAGGAUUCCGUUGAGGAGUUGAGGAGGAGGAGUCUGAGAAGGAGAACUCGAAGGCGAACUUGAGGAAAAUGAUUUUUGGAAGAAGAAGAUAAUUCCGAAGGGGGUCUUGAGUACGACCCAGAUGGACUGAGAGUCUAUCUUCUUUUGAGAAUUCCUUUUGAAGUGAAUAGUUAUGAAGUGGUUUGUGUUUUGUAUAAAAGUUUGGCUAUAAGUUUCAAUAUGAAAAAUAUGGCCCUGCUUUUCUAUCCCAUCGUUUCAUUGUCUGGGGAUUUUAACUGCUUCCACAUGUGCUUAAUAAACGAAAGGGUCGGCGAUACUUUGUCCUGGGAUAUCGCAUUAUAAAAUCGACCAAGUGAGAAGGAUGGGUGCGUGCCCGAGGAUCAGGGCGUGACACAGGCUGCCAAAUCUGGCCGUUCAACCGCGAGAUAUGGCUAUCCAACGGUUGGCUGGCGGUUGGCCGACAACCAACCCAUACCGGAUUUAAUUUUCGAAGUAAAAAAAUUAAAAAAAAAUAGCAAAAGCCGUUAUAAAUGUGAGUUUUACCAAAUGGUAUUUAUGUUAAAACUAUUUUCUAAUGCUAUUUGAGGUUAAAAUUUACCAAACGGUAUAGUAUUUUGGAAAACCCCUUUACUUCAAAGAUAUUUGCAAUUUCCUAAAGUCAUUUCCCCAAAAUCGAAUCAAAUGGGCCCUAAGUAUCUCAACUUUUCAAAUGUGAAUCAUUAGAGAUGUCCCUUAAAUCAAGGAUGGAUAUUGUCAACGUGGACGCUAAUGCCGCUAAAUAGUCAUUAAUCAUCAAUAUUGGCAUUCGAUGUAGUCUUUUGAGAUGAUCCGCUAUCAAUAGAUACAUAUUUGGACGGCUUAAAUUGUCUCACGACACACACUCUCUCUCUCCCCUUAUCGCUCAAUUAUCAAAAGGAGAAACCAUAUGCAAGCCCCGUCGCUACUGUUGCCUAAUGUUUACCGAGUAAACGAGUCACGCCAGCAAAAUCACAUGACAUGUGAAUUUAUUUAAAGGAGGCCUCUCACUGAACCAAAAUUAAAAGGUUGAGGUACUUGAUUGAAGACAGGCGACUUUAGAUCGAGCAAAAAUUUAAACAUUUUGCCUCAUCAUUAUUUUAAAAAUUGAAAAAAGUGGAUACUAAAAAAUUGUAUGGACAAUCCAAAGGACUUAUGAGAAUAUUUUUCUUUUAUUGCUAAACGCAUAAGAAACUCAUAAAACGUGCAUUUAUAAUCGUUUGAACUAUUAUCUUCAUCUCUGUAUAAUUUUGCGAGUCGUCUCUUUCGCAAAGUGGCGAAUGUAACCAUUUUAUGUUAUUUUCAGUCUAUUUCUCAUUAAUUAUUUCACUGCUUGGUUCAAAAUAUUAGAAAUAGUUACUCCCUGUUCCUUUCGCCUUAACAGCAACAAAGAUUCCCAUGCAGUAGCUCAUUUUCGGUGGCUGCUUAUUCUGCUAAGACACUUCAUUUCGUUCCUAAGAAUAAAAUUCUGAUUGCAACUCGAAAACCCUCUUCAAACGACGCUAUUUGACAUGAUCUACUGUAAAUAAAUAUUUUGAGUACUGUACAACAUUAUAAAGUGGUGAACGAAAAAGGCGAGUACAGCAGCUUUUCGAUAAUGACCUCUAUUACGGUGAUUUUCACGUACAUCGCACUUAAAUAGACAUCAGUUCCAAGCAAAAUAAAAACAGACAGCAUUAAGGCACUACAUUUUACAUACGCAUCUAGACGAGACGAGACCUUCGGGUCAAUUAUAUGUUGAAACUUGGCAUCUUCGAGGGGAGUUUGGGAUGCUUUGCCUUCAAGUUCAAAACAGCCAUUGCCUCUUCAGUCGAAGGCCGGGACCCAGCAUCAGGUUGAGUACACCACAGCCCCACAAUCAAUAAGGCCUCCGCCUGUUUCUUGACGAAAUCUUUGCGGAGCCUCUCGUCCACCACAAGGAGAAAAUUCCUGCGCCAGCUCCAACUCCAGCGCCCAUAAUGCUUCCAUACCCACUCUACAAGGUUUUGUAGGUCUCCAUGGAGGGAAAAGACGGCUCUUCUCCCACAUACUAUUUCCAAAAGAACCACUCCAAAGCUGUAAAUAUCAGAUUGUUUACUUGCCUUACCUGUUCUAUGGUAUUCUGGAGCCGCGUAACCCAGUGUUCCCAUCUUUUCAGUUGUUUUUUGUCCUCUGGCAUGGUCGACUAACCUAGCCAAGCCAAAAUCUCCCAAUUUGGCCACGAACUUUUCAGUGAGCAUGAUGUUGCUGGACUUGAUAUCUCUGUGGAUCACGCAUUCAUGAUCAUGAUAUUCUUCGUGUAGGUAGUGCAGCGCCGAGGCUAAUCCCCGAGCAAUUUCGUACCUCUUUCCCCAUUCCAAAAAUUUUUCCGGUUUAAAAAGAUGAUCCUCCAAGCUACCUCCUCCAAUGAAUUCGUAAACCAGAGCGAAUCUAUUAGCCUCGUGACAAUAGCCUUCAAGUUGCACCAAGUUUUUGUGCCUAAGUUGGCUUAAUGACUUCACCUCGGACAUAUACUCCUUUAUCCCUUGGUGCGAAUUGGGGUUCAUCAUCUUUAUAGCGACCGGUGUGGAAGCAUCUCCUACGUGCCCUUUGUACACUAUCCCGAAACCUCCUCUCCCCAGAAUCCUAUCAUUUGCAAAGGAAUUGGUCGCAAUCAUCAACUCUUCAUUGGAGUAUUCCUUUAGUCCACUGAUCUUUGCAAACUCUUCGGUUAAUUUCAAGCCAAAAUCGCCUACUUCUCCACCUCUCCGGUAAAGAAGGAAAACUAUCAAGUCACGAAGAUCUGAAGCGAAACAGAUCACUAGCAAUCCUGGGGCAAUAUAUUUGAAUUCGGAAAUCAAUUCCAAGAAGGACAGAGGCCCAGAGAUAUCCUCAUAAGGAGGAAGAUGAGAGGUGUAAUGGUAAUUCACGAAUGCAACUGCAACGACAGCUAGUGCUGCAGCAGCCGAAACGACUCUGGCAAACAUGAAUACAUCAACAGUCAGCAACGAAUUCUAAUGCUACCCUCAGUAGAAUGUCUCGUGAGAAACCAAAUAUAUUGUCUCAAACAAGAGGAAAGUUUAAAUGGCAUUGAUGGCACCACAGAGAGAAACUUCAUCCAUGUUUAAUUGUCUAUUAUCACCCACAAGGUCAAAUGUUAGCUUCAGAAACGUGUGAAAGUAUGGAAACUCGAUGACCAAAUCACACAUAGAGAGGCCAAAUGGUUUAGACACUCUAAAAAUUUGGUGUCGGUAGUCCAUGUAGUAAUGGUAGGAUUAAGUGUCCGUUAUCAGCUUCUCUCAAAAAGUUUGAUCCUCUAAAAAGAACCGACAACUUCCAUGGCGAGACCUCGCUUCAUUGGCUGCAAUCAUAUAGAUUACCUUAUGACUAUUGGUGUCAUAAAGACCACAACAGAGCAACCUCGACUUUCUAGACAUGCCAAUUACCCCUAAACUAAGGGCCCUUGUCGACCUUGUUCAAGUCCAUCGAUUUUUAAGUAUAAAUAUAUAAAGUGCACAAGCAGGAGUCAAAAGAGGCUAAGAAAACAAGAGUCUGAGUGAUUCAAGGGGACAAGAAUAGAGAGAGUACCUUAGAGAGAAUUUGAAUGGCAGGAGUAGAUCCAUGGCGUCAAAGAAGGCCUGGAGAAUCUGAAAGAGUAGGUGAAGAAUUAAGCGUCGAGCUUGCGCAGCACCAAGAGCACGAACCGCACGAGCCGCACCGAGAUCAGCGACGCAUCGGCGUUGAGGUAAAGUCAACGGCAAUGUCCAAGGGGACUGUAGUCAGCCAGGAAGCUUAAAGUUUAAGAGUGAGAUGAAGAGAGAGAGAGAGACACGGCAAGGCUGAUCAGAGAAGUGAGUGAACAAGAACUUAUUUAGGGUUAAGGGUGAAGCAUUGGGUCCCGCUUCUAUCCUGGGACCGGCUUUGGAAUUGACAAUGGGUAACCAGACCGGUCCCGUUGUGAGCCGGUCUUGAACCGGCGGAGCAAAGCUGGUUUGGGUCUUCCCCGGGUUGCUCACCCCCAGUUCUCUGUUGAGAGUUGAUGCUAAACAUAAAUCAGUCAGCAAAAUCCACCGGUUUCCCGUAGUCUCAUCCCAAAGAUACACUUUCCAGGAGUACGUAGCUCUGCCACUGAUGUCAUUGAGGCUCCAGUUCGGGUGGCUUGGGCUGAGAUAUAGGUAAGCAGACAGUACAUGCAUUCCCCCGAAUGUCUAAGAGCUUGAGGCUCUCAGAGCCAAAUAAUGGGAAAUUGAAAGAUGUGUUGUCAAAGAGCACAGCGAAGCUGAAAAGGGUUUGAGCAGAGAGACCAUCAAGACCAGUACUUAUGGGGAUGUGGGUGCUUGUGGCUGAUCUUUUUGUCUUCCAAAGCUUUCCAUGUUGGGUGUUCUUGAUUUUUGCAGAUCUGGUCACUGCCUGUGAACUCAAAGCGCCGUGUGGGCGGGUUAACAUCUUCAUUAUUCUCACCGCUCGGCUUUGAUAAAACUGAAAAACUGGUUCAGGCACCAAAUUCCAGUGGCCAAAGUGACAACCCCCGCAGUGGGGUGCGAUUGGAAACACAAAUAGACUCGACGAAUUGCGUGCUGCUAAGAAAGACGAUAAAAUGUGGUUGGUUGAUGGCCGACUGUAAUGUCCAGUUCACACUUCUGGGCGGUGGAUAAAAAACUAAUUAAGGACAUUAUCACACGAAACGACGUGGAUUUUUGUCCCAAGAUGUCCCACUAUUAUAAAUAUAAUGAUAUGUCAGACGCAUGUACUUAGAUUAGUAAUAUUAUAAUGAGUCGAGUCUCCCUAUUGUCUUAUUUAUUGAUGUGAAAACAAAUUAAAUACUGAAGUAUUGAGUUCUGCUGUAGUGUUUUCGUUUUAUCAGUUUAAAGGCAAUGGCCCUGUCUUCCAGGGAGAACCUGUCAGAUGGGUGAAUUGGCAGAAUUCUACCGUGGUGCCAUAAAACACGAAGUAAUUUUUUUUUUCCAUAUUAAUAAGUUUCCCGUGAUAUCCCUAAAAUGGGAUAUCAUCUUAUUUGAGUUACUAACGUAGGUUACGAAUACUAAUUGUGGAGAAAAAUUGGUAAGCGCUCUAAUUGAGGUUGGUAACUAUUGCGACCUAACCUCAGGUGGAACCGUAUGAGGAUUGGACUAGUAGAUUACUAAGUCUAAACUUAGUUCGAGCUCUUCCAAGUCCAUAUAAAUUCGCAACUUAACUUCAAGUUCUUUGCAUUUAAACGAUUUUAUCUAGGAGUUGUCAUUAAUUGAUUUAUGGUGUCACUAAUCAAUUUAUGGUGUGAGUUUAAAAACCCAAAGUAAAGCAUCAAAAGAAAUACCUUACUUCUAUAAGCUAGAGAUUAAAUGAGUUUGAAACUUAACUACGCUAAAUUACUCAAACACGGCCUUUUCUCUUUUAUUAUCAAAAAUAUUUUGCAGACAAUUUGAUUUGAUUUUAAUCUGUCCUCUAACAGGCAAGGUGAUUGUGCAGAGUGCAAUCAUUAUUGAACACUCAAGGUAAUAGAUAAAUUACAAACAGAAAUACUUACAUUGAUACAACACAAUCUGCAGGGUUAGUCAGAAAAUCAUAUUUAUCAAUCUAAAUAUGAUUUCUAAUUAAGUCGUAAUUCCACUCAAAUAUCUUUUUGGGUUUCUCUUAUUUAAAUGAAAAGUAAACUAUAUGUCAUGCACUUUAAUUAAAUGGCCUAAUUCUAAUGACAAACAAUUUAUAAUUAAAUGGACCUAGUAACAAUUACUAAAUUACAUGCAUUUUAUGAACCUAAUUUUAUAUGACAUGUAAAUGAUAUUUUUGGUUUUUUUUAUGAAAAUUCGUAAUUAAAAAUUGAUAAAAAUAAAAAUCUACCUAACCUGAGAUAUUAUUUAUUUUAAGUGAGGGACUAACCUAAUCCUAUAUUAACUUAGAAACUUACCUCAACAAGCAAUUCAAUUGGAAGAUAUUAUCUAACAUGCGUCCUAAUUUAAUUAAGAAAAAAUAUUUAAACUAUUAUUUCUAGAAAAUCAAUUCUAAACCUCACAAUAUGCAAUGCAAUGCAAUAUUUUUGUAUUUUGGCUUGAUGUUCGCAAGUGCGGCUCGCAAGGAUGGCUCGAGGUUUUGCUUGGUACGGUGAGGCUCGCGGCAAGGUUACUCGUGGACAAUGAAGCUCACGGUGCGGUAACUCUCCCUUAUGAAAUCCUCAACUAGGGAUAAUUCGCACGCUCGAUGGAAGUCAACAAAUCUGCAGGAAAGAUGAAACGUGGAUUGGACUAGCACUAGAUUUGCUAGGCCUGGUGGUGACCGAGAACCCUCUAAGACUACACGAGGACACAAGUGAAUUUGUUGGACGUUGCUGAAGUUCACACGAAGUCGCUGUUCUUCGCUUUUCAACACUGCAAGAGUUAUAGCACAGAAGCUCGGGUGCAGUGGGGUGGCGCUUGAUGGCUUCGGAGCACAGCAAAAUUGUCGAUAUUCACUCGAGCCAUAGCAAGAUGGGGCUAUAAGAGUUUUCUUGAUAUGGAUUAUAUUAAUUGAAAUUGUAAUUUACUGUUUUACGGGAUUAGUCUAAUAAGAUAAGACAACGAUUUUUUAAUAAUUGAAUAUGGGUCUAACUUAUAUGGGCUGAGUUAGGCUUGGCCCGUGAUGCAACGGCCCGUCCAAAACUCUAUAAAAAGCGCUAAAGUCCCACCUCUGACCAUCAUUCUUCCACGAACAUUCUCUCACCUCACAUAAGGAAGCCGUGAGGGGCAGUCUCAUCACGCCAAGAUCUGAGGGCCAAAGAAGAGAAGAACCUGAGUGUCACCCCGUCAUUUAAGCUUCGGAUUGUUGUCAUUCCGCAUAAAGAAUGAUGAAUUCUAAAUCAGGUACGCAAAUCUCCGUCUUCUCCUCCAAUAUGUUUGAGUUUCUAGCUAUAUUGAUCCUAAGAUGCCGCUUUGAUAGCUAACAUUUGGUAUCAAAGCCUUGUAGACUAGAACUCGAACUGUUGCAUUUGGCCUGUUUUCGAAAAUUUUGUCCAUUGAAACUUGGUUUUGAAAACAUAUUUGGAUUCAUCUUGUCAAACCAAGCGAUUCGGUGGGUGGCAUGCCUCCAGUGGAGGCCAAAUGCGUCGACGAUGAGCAUUUCGGAUUUGACCUACCUUUGGAACAUUUUGCCUAUUUUCGUGAUUUUUUGUCCAAUAAAAGUACAUUUUAAUCAUAUAUGUGGGUCCUACUCAUCGAAACGAGCAUUUUGGUGGGUCGCUGGCCUCUGAGGGAGGUCGAGCGCCCCCGCAUGCUCCCACACACCGUGCCACAGCUUGGCGGUGAGUGCGCUCAUGCACUUACACGUACGAGCGCGUGACCAUUUAAGGAGGUGGAUGACGUCACCCACCGACUUGCGGCACCACCAUAGGAUGCUGACGUCAUGGAGGACAUCAAUGGGUGGUAAUGACAUCACCAAUGACGUCAUUUCCCAGCUGGUCGACCUAACCCGGGUUGACCGGCGUUGACCAGUUUGAGACGACCCGAAUUGACUGAACCCAAGUUGAUCAGUCAACCCGACUCCGAUUGACCAUUGACUGGUCAAACCGCCGGCCGGUCAAGCCAGUCUCAGGCCGGCUCAAAAGGACGAGCGUGUGAGGGCGCGUGUGACAUUGGAUUGACGCGUGGUUGGUACAGGCGUGCUUGUAUGAGAAUUUUCUACAUUAUGAUGUAUUUAUUUUAUAUAUUUGAUGAUUUUAUGAAUGCGAAAAUAUAUGUAAAACCCUAAAAUACAAGAUUUUUGGGGUAUUUUUACAUAUUUUUCACGUAUUUCUCUAUGAUUUUGGAAAUACAUUACAAGCUCACAUGUAUAUGAUCACAUAAAGAUUGUGUAGAGUAUUGAUUCGUUAAUAACAUGUAUAAAGUUCAGCAUAUAUUAAUGAAUAGAAUAAUGUGAUUAGCAUGACGUGUGAUUUUAGUGACAAAUUGCCCAUGUCAUCAAGUCUAAAAUCACAUGUAUAAAGUCAAUGUAAGUCAUAAAAUUUAUAUCCAUGAUAUGAGAGAGUUUCAAUGAUUCAAUUGGGUUGUGACCGCCAAAGUGGCACACUUGAUUGGAUUUGAAAAAUAUUGAUCUCAUAUUGUGAUGGGAUGUCACAUAUUCUAAUGCGUGGUCAUAUUCUCAAAAGAAGUGAUUAUGUAUUAAUUCAUGGAGAAAUACAUGUACAGCAUAUAGUUAAGGAGUGACUAAUUCUAGUGGUUCAUACACCUAAAAGUGGUGAAUUCACAAGAUGUUAGAAUAUAUUCUCGUAAUCGUUGUCAUGUGAUGAGUAUACAAUUACAUGUCAUGUAUUCUGUCAAAAGAUGUUUAUAUGAUGAUGCAUGUAGUUCUCGAAAUAUGUACUUAUAAGGUUUUCAAGUUACACAGUACUCACAUUAUACUAAUUGCAUAUGUUGUUUGUUAUUAAGUCACAUUCUCUGUAAUGGUAACUUCGUUGUGAUUAAGGUUCUUACUGGGUCAAAUUUUUAGUAAAAGAAGAAUUUUCAGUUUGAGAUGAAGCUACUAGAUGUUCAUAUUACUCUUACAAGAAUAAGUUGGCAAUCUCACCAUUAAUGAUAUGGAACUAGAAAGUAUUUUUUGCUACUUAGGAAAAUGGCAAUUGAAUUUGUCCGUUAACCAUGAGGAGUUCCAUUAGGAACACUUGAAAAUGGUUUACUAGUUAACUACAUUGCUAAAAUGAUGAUAAAACCCUUGGUAGCUUGAAAUUGUAUCUUGUUUAAUGCCGAGAUUGGAAUAAAUGUAAUGAUUUUUCAACAUAAGGUUUGAUGAUUCUGAUGAGGUUAAGGACUAUGUCCUAAGGAUGGUAGAUUUGAAGUCCAAAAUCAUACUCAUAAAGGAACUUAUGAAACCACCAAUUAUUCUAACAAUUUGGUCUCAGGAUAGCACUAUUUAAGAGAAAUGGUAUCAUUUACUACUUUUGUGGGAAGAAAUAACACAUAAGAAAUAGAGUAAUGAAUAUAAAGCUUGGUUGUCAAAGCGUGAGUCUAGAGUUAAUGAUUCAUUGGCAUUCGUUUAUGAAUUCAAUUCCUAUCGAAAGUCUCAUCCGGUUCUUAGUGGCUAGAUAACAGUGCAACAAAUUGCGUUGUUUACCAUAAGGGGAUUCAUAAAUCUAAGAAAGCCAAAUCAGGAUUAAUCAUAAUUCAUCAUGAAAAACAAUAUUUAACAUCUAUUAAGUGGGAGAUGUUGUUUUAACUCUAUAUUCUAAAUUAUGGUUUCCAUUUGAUAUUGAGAAACACUUUUAUGUACCUUCCUUUAGACGGAACUUAGUUUUCGUAUCAUGUCUGAAAGUGUGUUGUUAUUCUUUUGAAGUAAAGAACAAUCUCAUAUCUAUGUUUUCCAAGUCGAAUAAAGUUGGGUGCUAUAAUAUAUCAAAUGGAUUACUGCCAAUAAGGUUUUGAGAUACCAAAAGGGACAAGAAAACUAUAUGUUGACAAACAUGUUCAAGAUCUAAAACUAGUAGAGUAUUAGAAUGCAUAUUUUACUAGCUGUAAAUAUGACAAGAAGUUGACAACAUAAUAUAUAUUUAUAUUAGCAAAAAGUGUAGUAUUAUAACAAAAUGGUAAACAUAAAUCUAUGUUAUCCUCUACCGUAUAAACAGAGUCUGUAGCAUACUUUUCAACUGUUACUCAAGAUAUUUGACUUUGAAACCUUAUUAAGGAAUUGACCACAUUUAAUAUUAUGAAUAGACCCAUAUGGUUGUAUCAAGACAAUAACUCUUCAAUGUUGUUUAUGAACAACAAUAAAGGUCUCAAAGGGUCUAAAUAUGUGGCGGUCAAGUUUUUGACCAUAAAGAAACGAUAUUGAUAGUGACACUAUAGUAAAGCAUAUUUCCACAAAUGAUGUGAUUGUAGACCCACUAACUAAAGACUUCCACCCUUGUGUACUUAAAUGACAUGUUAUAAAUAUGGGUUGAGAAGCAUCAUUGGAUGUUGUUGUUUAGUGGAAGCCAUUUUGAUUUUGCUCUAAUAAAACUUAUAUAUGUAUUACACAUUCAAUAAAGUAUUCAUGAAUGUGUGGUCACCUUAUUGAGUUGAUUAUAUGUAAUGAAAAUCUCAAGGUAUUGUGUAAGUCUUAAGUGAAGGCUCGGGCAUCUGGUUAUCAACCUUGAGCAUAUAUCUUGAUUACACAUAAAGAAAUGUUAACUAUAAAGAUAAAACAUAUGUGGAUUCAUUAUAACUAUAAGGAUAUUUUCUAAUGGAACAUCCAAUUUUCAGUGACACUUAAGGUAAGAGAAUAGUAUCCGACAAAGAAAUAACACAUAAAGUAUUACUCUUUAUGAGGUGUUAUCUAUUAUUGAAUCAAUAUCGGUAAAGUUGAAAACACACGUGACUAUGAAAGGUUCUAUGUGAGUACAUGCAGUUACGACCAUGAUUCGGUGUUUGAAACUUUAUGGGAUACGAUUGACUAUUAAGAAUUAUCACUAGAUCAACAUAGAUGUGCGCACAUGCAAUACAGUCUCAAUUAACAUAAUCAAAGUAGGAAAAUGUAAGAGUUUUUCUAAUGUGAGAUACAUUAAUUGGGAUUAUAAUUUACUGUUUUACGGGAUUGGUCUAAUAAGGUAAAACAUAAAGUUUUCUUAAUAAUCGAAUAUAGGCCUGACUUGUAUGAGCCGAGUCCAUUCAAAACUCUAUAAAUAAUGCUAAGAUCCAUCCUCUAAUUCUCAUUCUUCCACGAACAUUCUCUCACCUCACAUAAGGAAGCCGUGAGGAGCAAUCUCAUCACAUCAGGAUCCAAGAGCCAUAAAGGAGAAAAACUUGAGCGUCGACUCGUCAUCUAAGCAUCGGAUUGUCGUCGUUCUCCAUAAAGAACAAUGGAUUCCAAAUUAGGCACACAAAUCUCCGUCUUCUUCUCCAAUAUGUUCGAGUUUCUAUCUAUGUUGAUCCUGGGAUGCCACUUCAACGGCCAACAGAGGCAGCAGCUUAGCGUUGGGCUUAAACAGCAGGGAGCGGUCAGCGUCGUCAAGUGUGACAGGUGGCAUAGCAGUGGGUCGUCUCAGGUCAGUGCAACAAGAAGUUUGCGACACGAGCAGUGCCAUCGGCCUUGGCAGCACAGGGGCAGAUGAAGGCAACAGCUCCUUAUUGUGGUUCGGCUUGGGCAGUGGCAACGCAGUGUCAACGGCAAUGACGAGUAGCGAGCGGGCGUUGUCAGGUGCCGCAGCAUGGCAAGAUAGCAGGGCUCGGCUCACGUCGAUAGAGGGCAUGGCGACGGUGACGCAGCAGGAGAGGCGUCUUGGCUAAGGCUUAGUCGAGCUCUCUCUCUCUCUGGUCUUUUCUUCUCCUCUCGUUCAGCUCGUGUGCCCUCCUCUCUGACCUCCCUCUACUCACCACGUGUUUCCUCUCAAUGGCCGUGUAUUCUAUUGUGUGUGGCCUCCCUUACGAUAGUCUCUUCCUUCUUAUUUCCUUCUUAUUUAUAUGUGUCAAUCCUGUUUGAAAAAGCAAGAGAAUAUCUUGGGCUGCCGGCCAUCUACUGCUUGAUAUUCUCACUGUUGUGCUCAACCCCUCUUAGUACGUAAAUCUCCCACUUCCCUUUUAUUCAUAUUUUUCCUUUUUAAUUUCGCACGAGCCUCCACACUGGAUGAGUCAUUUCCAUGUUGCUGAAAUAUUUUCCUCGAACAAUGGGAAAAUCCCAUUCAAGUCGCUUUUUUUCCCCUCCACCGCCACACACGUGCACCAAUCUCCUUUCUUGAUUUUCCCUCACUUUGUUUCCUUCUUUGAAUUCUCCUUUUUAUUUUUAGUCGAUCUUCUAAAUCCCCUCUCGCCGAAUCCGCUCACUAUCCUUCUGUUGCCAAAGAUCACACGUAUUCGGCCCAUGUUUCCUCUUUGCCGUGUCUUUCUUGACUUCAAAAUUUUCCAAUUUUGAUUACCCAUGCGCGGCAUAUGCAAUUUUCAGCCACGUAAGGUAUUUAAUAGGCUUGAAUUUCAUGCUUUUGUAGGCUCAGUCUAACUCUUCACCUUACCUUACUGACCUUAUUGAGCUCAUGGCCAUUUAUCACCCGUCACUAAUCCAACGCAAUUAAUGAAACUAAAUAAUAAAUACUCCUAAAAUUAAAUGCUAUGCAAAUUAAUUAUAAUAUUUAUGUUUAGGAGUUAAAAAUUAAUCUCUAAUUUCUAUAUAAUGAAUAAUCAUAUCGUCAAAAUUUAGGUGUCAAUAGUAACUUUUUAAAUAAUUGGUAAUCUAAUGGGUUGACAAGCAAGGCAAACAAAAUUGGUAAAUUUCUUUAUAAAAAAAGGACUGAUAAAUAACUAAAACGAUAAAUGAUAAGCUAAAACUAGUUGGUAACCUAAUAGGAAAAAGCUAGUAAGUUGUACAAAUAAAAGUUGCUCAGUUCAUAUAGAAGUUGAUAAAUUUAACACUUAUAUAAGAAUUGGUAAGAUACUCACAUAAAGAUUGGGCAAUUCAUACAAGAUUGGUAAAAUGAUAGUGUUGAUGCAAAAUGAAAUUAGAAGCUAGUAAAAGAUAAUAAAAAACAUAGUGAGUAGUAUACAAAAUAUUUAUAAUAAAAAAAAAGUUAAUAUCUGAAAAACCCUAAAUUGAUACAUUUAUGACAAAUUUAUUCUAAACUAAUUUUUUUAUCACAAAAAAACCUUAGACUGAUACACAUUUGACAAAUUUGUCCAAAAAUAUUACACUUAUGAUAAAUUUAUCUUCUAUUAGUUUUUAUUUAAUUUUACUGUCAAAAUGCUAAGUUGAAUAAUAUAUUAUAGUUAACAGAUGUAUUGAUUUGAGAUUUAUCAGUUUUAUGAUUUUUUUGUGGUAUUAAUCCAAUUUAACGGCAGGUAUAUUAAUCCAGUUUAGGGUUUUUUAAGAUCAAAAAAUUAAUUUGGGGUAGAUUUACCACAGAUGUACCAAUUUAGAAUUUUUUUAAGGUCAUUUAGGAUAAUUUUUUCAUAAAUAUAUCAGUUUAAAGUUUUUCAUAGUAACAAAAUUAUAUAGUGAAGUUUAGCAUUUUUCAGGAUAUUAAACCAAAAAAAAAAAGUUAGUAAUUUCAAAAUAGUCUUGGGAAGUUACUAAAAAUUUAUCGUAAAUCAAGUGAAUGGUAAAUUUUUUUUACUAAUAAUUUUUUACACCUACCAACUGAAAGGUUUUUAUCUACAAAAUUAUCGUCCAAAACAUGCUAUAGUGAAGGAAAUUGAUUCAGUUCAUAUUUCAAUUGAUAUAAUAAAGUUUCUAAAGGAGGCUGUAAAGCCCCAUUCACAGAUCCAAGCUCAUUUAGCUUUCAUAAUCUCAAUAAUGAGACAAAUUCAUUUCUUUUUCAUAAGGGGACAAAAGUUUGAUUUAUACUGUUAUGAAACCCCGAAAUAAAUGGUUGACAUGGUUUUGCAUAUUUCUCAAAAUUGGGGCAAGUCAUGCUGAUUUACCCUGCAUUCCUCCAAUUAUUAAUCAAUUGCAGAAAUAACUGCCAAAUAACAGUGUACAUAUUUCAGUGAUUCCUGAAUCCAUGGAUGAUAACACAAAACUCAGUUCUAGCUGGUGUGAAAAAAGAAGAGUGGAUGAGCAGAAACAAAGUUAAAAUGGCAUCGAUAAUGUUGUUAGUGAUCAAAACAGUAAACAAGAAAAUAGAAAACCAAAAGCUAUAUUUUUCAUAUGAGGAAGAAAAGUGCAGAGAAACAGAACACAAACUUGCAUACGUCUGUUCUAAAGGAAACUAUCAAGUACAGGACAACUUAAACAAAGCAAAAACUGCUCACGUACGUGCAACACAUAACUGCACACAAACGUGCUAUUAACUUCCUAGAAAAUAACAAAAACACUAAAUAAAUAACUAAAUUGAACUUGGCUGUUUUUUAAUAAAUAAAAAAAAACAGAGUAAAACAGAGCAGAAAACAGAACAGAAAACAGAGUAAAAAAAAAGAACAGAAAACAGCAACUGAGACAUUAUAAUCCAACAGAUAAGAGGAGGACCUUAAAUGUAAUUUUUUCUAGCUGAUUUACAGAAAAUGAUCAUCGUAGACAAACAAACCACCAUGUCCCCAGUGUAUAGUUGUUCUUACUUCAUACUGCCUUUCUUCUCCUACGUUUCCAUGAAACCAAAAGUUUCAUGUGUUCACACUCACAUGUUCAAGUUCUGGUGAUUUAUACUAUCCAUUCUGUCAAUUUGCUGACUCAGAAUUUGCACAAACAGGACAGUCUCCACCUACUUUUGGUUUUGUACUGGGAAAAAAAACAAAAAGGAAGAAAAAACUGAACCAAGGAAUUGAUGAAAACUUCACUCAACAUCACCCCUUACUUUGCUUAUAGAUUAACACAUAGACAUACAUAUGCAAUGACAUCCCACCAAAUCUGAGUUUGUAAUCUUGUCUUCACCGUGUUGAAAGGAGUUGAGAAUAAACCUGCAGUAGAUCCUGCUAGUCCUCCACAAGCAAGCUGCAAAAGAGGGAAAUCGCUGUGGAGCAAAUUGGAAUUAUCCAUGGACUCAAAAAGGAAAUUGGGAGGCGAGUAGACAACCAACCGAUAGCAAUGUGUUCAGUCGAGCACUGAGCGGGAGCGAGGAAAGUGUUUACAUCUUUAGAUUCUCAUAUACGUAGAACUGCAAGUGGUGUAUGGCAAGAUUAAGUGUUCACUUGCCGAAGAAAAUGACGAUUACACGCCACCACAUGACAACAAAAUCCAUAAUCUUGUGCAUCCUCAUAUCCACCUUGACCAUUUCUACAGAGCACAGCUCCCCACCCAGCAUGUAAAGAAGGCAUACCACCUCUUAUGAUUAUUCCAACCAAUGCAUCCCCAUCAAAACAAAAAGUAAGAGUAAAUGGCAUGGCAAAUGAACUAAAACAAACAAAACGUGCUCAAAACAUGCUUGACAACCAAGGACGAAGUAGCAAGGGGAUUAUUUAAUGAGGCUGCUACGGAGAAACAUCUCAAGAAGAUGCAGGAAUCUGAUCAUAGGAAGACAUAUCCGAAAUCCAUCACAACCUCCAACCGACUAACUUUAAUAUAUUAAAUGAGGAGAUUAUGGUAACAGUAUUACACUAGAAUACCGGCAGUUAUGAUAGUGAGAACACACGUGCAUCUGCUGCUUUAUGCUCUCCCUAGGAGUGUAGACAAAAGAGGUAGCAAUUCUUGCACCACCACCUGCAACACAACACGUGAUGGAGUAUUACUCCUGCACAAAGAAGCGGAUGAUAUAUCUGGAAAACACACCGUUUAGUUGGGACCAUUUGAAACCUUGCUGAGGCUAGAAGGGGGCAUUCAAAACCUAGCCCACAUUUAACGUAGCAAAAAGAUUAACACCAGAAAAGUGGAGAAAGAGAGUUUCGAAAGGAAAAUGAGGAAAAAAACUACCUUGGGGAAAAGAGAAAGUAAAGUGCCUUUUACUGACUCAUAUGUGACAGUAUAAAUCGCAGAAAUUGGACCUGAAGAUGCAAUUUUGCUUGAGAUACCUCGAUAUAGCCCAGUAAGACUUGGCAAAUGAGACCAAUAUGGAACAAAUUUCAUCGGCAAUUUGGCAAUAUAAUACAUAACAGGCAAUCGUAGUUGUUAUGAGUGAAAGAGGUUCUAAAUGACACUGUCAAUAUCAUUUCGAAUCCAAUGAAGCAUACCUCUCUCAGAAACAAUCAAUUUUACAAUAUAGCAAUGAGAUUUCUGCUCUGCACGGUAAGACUGAAUGACAGUUUUAAUUGUAUCAACCAGGUGAAGACAAAGGCUGACAAAGACACCAAUAAAUGCCCCUGCAAAUGCAUGUUCUUCCUUGGCAACAGCAGCCUGAGGCUUAACAUGUCCUAAACAGUGUAUCUUCAUGGUAUGUUGUUCCUGGGCAGGACGAUGAUUGUCCUCUUCCUUUCCUUCAGGAAAGAAUUCAAAUGGUGUUAGUGCUCUCAUAACGAAGUUUGCAUUCACCUUUUCCAGAUGCUACAAACUUUAAAUGAUAAUCUGCAUGAAGGGUAGAAGAUGCAGCUUUUGAGACACAGCUGUCUGCCUCAAUAUUGGCAACUUUGAGGUAAUAAUCUGAAAGCAAAGAGGUGCUUUCCUUCUCGUGCAAGAUCAAUUUUGAGUUGUUAGCCACUGGCAGAUCCUUGGAAUAGAUUUUUUUGGGGGGGGGGGGGGGGGGGGGGGGGGGGGGGUUUGGUGGAGUUGUAAGAAUCAGCACUAUCUAUGAAGUUCUUGGGGCCUGUAUCUUCUGACAUUAGAUUCUGCAGAGGAGAUUAUUAUUUCUCUAGACUAGAAUUUACCAGCUUUUUCACCAUCAGAUACAGCAAUCUUAAAAGGAUGUUUGGCCUCUGCAGGUAUCAAUUCACUCAUCAGCCACAAAUAAGUUCCAGUCCAGAUGAGAUCCCCAAACAAGAAAUCCCUUUCCCAUCCUUAGGUCCAUUAAGCCAAUUGGUAAUAUCCCCACUAAAAUUCCAUACCAGUAAUUGAUACUGCCCAGUGCUCUCCCUGUUUUAUUUAAGCGCUGACGUUCUGUUAGUUAUCCGAAGAAUGUCUAGGUUCAGUUGCCACAUCUCUGUUAAGUUGAUGUCAGAAUGACUACAUUUAGGCAAAGUAGAUGUACUGCCAUUUUGUUGCCAUUCCACAUCAUGCAAAAUAUCCUCCUUCUCACCAGAGAUUUUGUAACUUAAGUUUGUUUUUUGUUGUAAAACUGCGAGAGAACGAUAUUUAAAGACCCCUGCAUGGCCAACUGCUGAGAUGAGUUCAGAAGUGCUCAGUAAUUCAGAUGACUAGGGAUCAGCCUUUUCCUGCUGAAAAGUUUCAGAAUGUGUGGGGACUCCCUCUUCAUGGACAAAAUCAGCAAACUCAAAGGAUGCCCACUCAACUUAAGUAUAUCUAAUGGCAGUGGAUAGCAUACAUAAUAAAUUGCUUUCUGAUGAAGGUAUCAAAUAAAAAACUCAGGAUGUUAGUGUUAAGUACAAAGGAACAAAGUGUGCUGCAGAAAAACGAAAACAGAGGACUUGGCAAUACAGCAAAAACAGAGGACUUGGCGAUACAGCAAAUGACUUGGAUCGCCAAGUCAUAGGGUUAAAUCAACGGCAAAGAUCUUAUAAAGAAGACCAGCUUGGAUCGACGAUCAAUGAACGAGAUGCUCAAAGAAUCAAUGACUCGGAUCGCUAAGUCAUAAGCGUAGUCAAAUAGGUUUUUCUGUUAAAGUAGUUACUGUAUUCGGUUUUCCCUUGUAACCGAGUUCUGUUACAUACCCUGAUAUAAAUACUCUGCUUUGCUUUACAUAAGGAGCUCUGAAAACAGAUAGAAAGAAUAUAGAGAAGGUGAGAGAAUAGAGAACAGGGAAUCAAGAUCAUCAACGAAUGCUGAAGAGAUCCCUGUAUUGAAGAGAGAGUUUCGAAGAAUGUUGAACAGCUCAAGUCCAAAGUGCUGAAGCAAGUCAAGUAAGAUUGAUCUUAGAAGAUAGAACAGAGAAAGUGUAUUAUUUUCUGUCUUUCAAUUGUACUGAGUUACAAUGAUAUGAUCACCAUGCUGAAAUACAAAUGAUCUUCAGAGUCGACCACUUGAUCUUGUUUGAGUUCUUCAUCUUUCUCAGUUAGAACUAUAAGAAGCUAAAGGUAUAAAGAGGUAUAUUUGGAUUGAUUUUUACCGUAACACAUAAAUUAUCAGUCAAAGCCUUCCGUUGUGGGGUUACAUCUUCCAACAGUCCCUCCAAUCGAAAAGAACCAGAGCAAGCAGCUUAUGAUAGACUCGUGGAGUUUUCAGGAAAAUAAGAAUCACUCCUUUACAAUAAUACAUAAUUGACAAAUGAACAGGCGAUUACAACAAGAUGCUGGCUGCCCCCUAAGCCAUCAUAAGAAACUACCCACAUGUCAAAAAGUAGUUCAAAACACAAACAACUCAUGAGCUAUAAGUUCAUUAAUUCCAACUAGUUGACCCAGUGAAUCCCUGAUUUUGCUCAGCAUAGUGGGGUCAUAUUAUGCCAUUCCAGAUUACUCCAUAGUCCACAAUCUACACCAAAGCUCUAUUUUCUCAUCAAAGAAGAAGCUACUGAGUCACAGGCACUUUUACAGUACGCGGGGUGUCCCGUACACAUUACCACGUGCCCUUAUUAAGUACAAGAACCUCGUAACACAAUCAUAAAAUUGUUUUACACAUAGUUGUAAACAAAUCUAUGUACCUUAGAAAUCCCACUGAGUCCCCUCCAACUUCGAAUUCUGCAUUGGCAGAGUGGUCAAAGAAGCACGAUUCAUUUAGAAAAGUUAUGUUGGGUGAAUGUGUUGAGUCUCAAAUCGACGACAGAAUGUGCGGACUGAAUGCAAAGUCAUGGGCUUGAGAAAACCAGAAUCUACGGAUUCGGCUCCCGCUCGGAGAGAAGCUCCAAUCCAGUGCGCCUCCCACGGCAGUCUCGUCAAUGGGAACCCUUGCCUAGCCAUGCCAUUUGAUUUGCCGGUCACUGGAAGUCCCUCAACUUGAAAUCAAUGAAAUUCACCAAGAGUGUGGUGAUUGAAGAAUCGGAGAUCAGAGAGCACAGCUACGCUCGUGAAGAAAGGAGGGAAGGGCCAUUAAAAAAAUUCUACUUCAGUCGCAUAGGGGAGUCCUAGCGGUGACCAAUCGACUCCGAUUUUCAUUGGUGAAAGUUCAUCAGUUGUUUAGGGCCUUGCCGUCGGCCGAGAACCGAGAGUUCCUUGAUCGAGCACCACCGAGCCGUACCAUCUGUCGCAUUCUAUUCGGAAUAUUAUCUGCGCAAUAUUUCAAAUUAGGUUCCUUCGCGUGCUCAACCCCACAAAAGUCAACUUUGCUGGACCUUGCUUAGUCUUGUGGAGUCCAGAUAAUCCCUCCAGCAUUGGUGGCGUUCUAGUUUCAGUGGUCCCCCUCGCUGAGACGUUAUGCUACCAAGAGACUUGCCUAAGUAAUCGUACGGAGAGUCCCAUACGUCACCAUUCGUUGCCGGCCCAUUGAGGAGGAUCCGGUCCAAUUGUGCUUGGUCCAAAUUUGGAAUAAUAUCCUCCAAUUAGGGAAGAUGCACAUUUCUAAUAUAUUUGCAUAUUUUACUAUUUAAUAUAUGUUUAUCAGUAUCUAAUGUGCAUAGGAUAGAUAUAUCUCCAAAUUAGAAUUUAUUGCCUAAUCCACAACUGUAAUUUUUUAUUUCAUCUAUAAGGCUUUAGAUGGAAUAAUUAAUCACAUGAAUGAUUUGAUGCUUAUCUUUUAAUUUCUUUAUUUAUCCCAAAAAUACAAAAAAGAUUGCAUUUGCAUAUCAUGUAGGUUAUAAUUAAUUUCCUAGAUAGAAUUGUGAUAGAAUAGUUAGAUACAUUUCUAAUUAUAUUACAAUGCAUGUUUAGAUGACAUCUAGGUUAGAUGGUAUUUUGGAAUUAAAUUGCAUAUUGAUAUAAAUGUCUAGGUUAAAUAGGAUUCAAAUUAGUCUAUUUCCUAACCUAAAAUAGAUAAUAUCUCACUUUAGUUAGAUUUUUAUUAUUAGUAAUUUUUAAUUACGAAUUUUUAUUAAAAAAAUACAAAAAUAUAUGCACAUGGCAUAUAGAAUUAGGUUCAUGAAAUGCAUGUCAUUUAAUGAUUGUUGCUAGGUCCAUUUAAUUAGAAAUUGUCCAUCGUUAGAAUUAGGUCAGUUGGUUAAAUUGCAUUGCACAUAGAUUAUAUUUCAUUAAAUAAGAGAAAAUUGCAUGUUAAUUAGAAAUCAUAUCUAAGAUUGUUGAUGUGAAUUCUGAUUUAAUAUCGCAGAUGCUUCCGUUGUUAUGAAUCACAGGCACUUUUACAGUACGUAGGGUGUCCCGUACACACUACCACGUGCACUUAUUAAGUACAAGAACCUCAUAACACAAUCAUAAAAUUGUUUUACGAUGGUUACAUAGUUAGUUCCAAACAAAUCUAUGAACCUUAGAAAUCCCAUUGAGUCACCUACAACUUCGAAUUCUGCAUCGGCAGAGUGGUCAAAGAAGCACAAUUCAUUUAGAAAAGUUAUAGUGGGUGAAUGGGUGAAUGCGUUGAGUCUCAAAUUAACGACAGAAUGUGCGAACUGAAUGCAAAAUUAGGGGCUUGAGAAAACCAGUUUCCUCUUCUUACCCGCUAUUUUUCGGCAAGCGAAGAGAAAUCUUGAAAACAAAUACAUCAUCAUUCAGAAACCCAGAAGGGAUAAAGCCGAAUGAAAUCCAUAGGAAAUAAAUGGUGACCAAAGCAAUGCAAGAGAACCGGGAGAAUCGGGAGAACCCGGACGAGCUCGACUCUGUACGAGCCGAAACCAGCGCCUCCGCAGCUCGCCGAUUCAUUUCCCUUUUUCCCCGAGAAAAUUCAGAAAGCUGGGGGACUGGUCCGGGAAAAUCAGGGUUUAAGGAAAGUGGAUUUAUGUAGAAAGCUCGGAUUAUGCUCCGGCGACGGCGGCGAAUUUGGAAGAUGCUACGGCAUGCUGGGGGAUGGGAAGACUCGUGCGUUGGCUCCUGAUCCGACGCGCCCCGGCGGCAGUUUCAUCGAGCAUUUGGCGCGACGGAUGGAGAAGAGAUCGGAGGAUUGGAAUGUAGGAAUAGGGGAAUGGUGCGAUCGUACUAUCUACAUUCAAUUCAAAUUCAAACGUUGCAAGCUCUGUCAGCGGCGAGAGUCUCGCCGAGGACGCGGCCGGAUAAAACGCGAGUCAUGCGCGUUUCUUCGGACCAAGUUAUGAGAAGCAACCUAUUUCCGAUUUGUUUGUCUUGUGCACGUGGAUGUCGAGGGAUCCAUCUCUGACAAAGAUCCAGAUACGAACGUUGUUUCACCUGUGGAAGUCGAUACAUGAAAUGUCAUCUGGCAAAGAUAUGGUUUUAUUAGAUUGGAGAAUUUAGCAGAGGGCAGAGGCCCAAAGAAGCUUAAUCGAACGACCUGUCCCCACCUGGCCGGCCCACCUAUUUUUCAACAUAAGGGCAAGGCCUUGUCUCCUUCUCUCUAAACUCUAUACUCUAAGAUUACAUCCAGAUUUCUAAUUAUGAUAGAAUUAGAUAGGACAUGAUAUAAAAUCCAAAAGAUUUUGAUAAUCCUAUCCAAUAUUUGGUGAUUGUAGUAAUAAAGUCGAAUAUAUUCACAUCAUAUAAUAUACAUUGUUUGGUAUAAAAGAUAUAUUAGUAGAAAAUAAUAAAAAUCUCUCGCGACACUGCUACCUGCUUCAGUUUAUUUGCUUAUUUAUUUUGUUUUCCUCUCUUUUAUUAAUUAAUUUUUUUAUUAUUUUCUUCCCCUCCCAUCAUUCUCCAAUAAAAUUUUAUUAAAUAAUAAACUUAAUAUACCUAAAAUAUUAACAUACCAAAAAAAUGUAAUAAAUAUAUAUUUAUACUUAUAUAUUUAAAUUAUUUUAUAAAUAUAAAUAAAUUCAAAUAUAUAAAUAAAAAUAAGAUUAAAUUAAAAUCACUAAAUUAUUAUUUUUUGUUAGUUUGAAUUUCUCAUAUUAGAAUUCAAAUAUUAUUUAUAGUGAGACAUAAUUUUAAUAUUAUUAAUUUAAAAGGUUAGUUAUUCGAGAAAAAUAACUUUGCUAUUAUGGAUUCUAGAAAUCCUAUUCAUCUUUAUCCCACCUCCCUCAUAAGAUAAUUUUAUUCGAUCUAUAUCUCCCUUUAUAUUCGAUUUUAUUCUAUCUUGAAUAGGUACCAAACACAGAAUAGGAUAAAUUAUAUUAUAUCUAGAAUUAUAUCAUGACUAUCAAACACAGCCUAAGUUCUCACAUUUUCUCUACUUUUAUUUGGACUUAAGCAUCGAAGAGUCCACAUAGACCAAAAUACAAGGAUUUUCUUUCUUCGAAGGUGUGCAUGUCCAAGGUGCUCCAAGUCCAUUGCAAAGAUGUUAAGCCUACAGCACGUCUGAUACAAGUAUCGAUACCAUCUAAACCACUAUAAAUAAAUAAAUAAAUAAGAGUGAUAAGUAAACAAGAAAUUCUCUAGAACUCUGAAAACCUUGUGUUGAGAAUUCACAAUAAGGAAUUGCCAGUUUAUCUCUUUUUCUCGGAGAGGUUCACAGGGUUCAGUUUUUUCAAAUUGAUUGAUUGUUCAAUGCGUGAUGAGAGUGAAGUAGAGUCGAAAGCCCAUGCCAUUUUUCAAAGAUGAUGUCUUGCUUUAUUUAGUAUCUUGUGAAUCUUGUUUCUUCGUGCCAUUUAUUAGAUGGCUGUAGGAAGUUGCAGAAUUGUAUCUUGCAAGAGCUGCUACAAGAAUCUCUGUUUCAUUUUCUUCAAAUCACUGCUUGGCCGGUACCCCACUACUGUGCAACUUUGCAAUACUAAAGAACAUCUUUUUACACUAUAUAUGGAUAUCGUAACCAGCAACUUCAAAAACAAAAGCCAACAUGAAGAGACACAUACGCAAACGUAACUUUUUGCUUGAAGUUGACAUGCAUAUAACGCUAGAAGAGGCAUCAAUACUUGCACUCAGAGCGAGGCAUUUGCCCAAAACCGAAAGCCUCUGGACCAGACUGUCGGAUAUAGGAGGGGAGGUUGGAAAGAUCUGCCCUCAAGUUCAGAACAGCCAUUGCAGCUUCAAUUGAGGGCCGGCACCUAACAUCGGGAUGAGCACACCAAAGCCCCACGAUCAUUGUAACAUCCCGGGUCCCACUUGUGUGAUAUUGUCUGUUUUGGACACUGAGUCCUCACGGUUUUAAAACGCGUCACACAAUUAAAGGAACCCAAGCCUUAUAAAGGCUCCCAGGAACCCCUCCCUAAGCGAUGUGGGACAAGAGGGAGAGGAAUCCCUUCCCCUUCCCUUGCGCGCGUCCGAGGACCGGAGGCGCGGACGCACCGCCAUCCCUCCUCCCCGCGCACCACCGCUCGGGUCGUGUCCGGUCCGCGGACGUACCGCCAUCCCUCCUCCCCGCGCACCACCGCUCGGGUCGUGUCCGGUCGUCACACUCUCCCCCCUUGGGAGCGGGUCGUCACACUCUCCCCCCCUUGGGAGCACAGCGUCCUCGCUGUGGCCCCACACGCUGUCGGGAGUCGGCUCUGAUACCAUUUGUAACAUCCCGGGUCCCACUUGUGUGAUAUUGUCCGCUUUGGACACUGAGUCCUCACGGUUUUAAAACGCGUCACACAAUUAAAGGAACCCAAGCCUUAUAAAGGCUCCCAAGAACCCGUCCCUAAGCGAUGUGGGACAAGAGGGAGAGGAAUCCCUUCCCCUUCCCUUGCACGCGUCCGAGGACCGGAGGCGCGGACGCACCGCCAUCCCUCCUCCCCACGCACCGCCGCUCGGGUCGUCACACUCUCCCCCCCUUGGGAGCGGGUCGUCACAAUCAUCAAGGCCUUCGCCUGUUUCUUGUUGAAAUUUUUACCGAGCUUCAAGUCCACGGGCAACUUCCCCCGCCCAUAUUGCUCUCGAACCCACACCACAAUGUGGCAUUGGUCUUCAAUGACUCUUCUCCCACAAACAAUUUCCAAAAGGACGACUCCGAAGCUAUAGAUAUCAGAUUCCUUACUUGCCUCACCCGUCUGAUGAUAUUCCGGAGCCACAUAACCCGGUGUUCCCACCACGUCAGUUGCUUUUAGCCCACCAGCAUGGUCAACUAGCCUGGCCAAGCCAAAAUCUCCCAGUUUGGCCUCUAACCUUUCAUCGAGCAUGAUAUUGCUGGAUUUGAUAUCCCUGUGGAUCACGCAUUGAUUACAUUGUUUGUGUAGGUAGUACACCGCCGAGGCUAAUCCUAGAGUGAUGCUGUACCUUCUUUCCCAUGUCAACGAGGGUCUACCUUUAAACAGAUGAUCCUCCAAGCUGCCUCCUCUCAUAAAUUCGUAAACUAGGAUGAAUUCGUUCGCCUUGUGACAAUAACCUAUAAGUUGCACCAAGUUUCUAUGCCUAAGUUGACUUAGUGACUUCACCUCAGAUACAUACUCCUUUAUCCCUUGGCGUGAGCCAGAUUUUAUUUUCUUUACAGCGACCACGGUGCGAGCGCCUCCCAUGUGCCCUUUGUACACGAUCCCGGAACCCCCUUCUCCCAGAAUCCUGUCACGUGCAAAAGAAUUGGUCGCGAUCAUCAACUCUUUAAAGGAAAACUCCUUGGUUCCACUCAACUUUUCAAACUCUUCUGUUAAUUUCGCGCUAAGGCUGCCUUCUUCUCCACCUCUCUCUGUCUUAUACUUUACCCAAGCAACGAUGAUCGCCACCAAUACAAUGGCACCGCCCAGUAGCGACUUCAACCAAGAUUCAGUAUCCUUCUCCACCCGGAGCUGUAAACUGGAGCUAAAUUGCCGUUUCUCGCCAAAGCGAUGCUCAAGUACAGUAUCAACCAAACCUAGGUGGAAAUACCCACUUGUGUUGAAUUGCUGUAUCUGGCCAAAGCGAUGCUCAAGUGCAAAUUCAAGGGAGCCUGCUGGGAGACAAACACCCACCGCGUCUGGCGAAUACUCACUUGAGCUGAAUUGCUGUAUCUGGCCAAAGCGAUGCUCAAGUGCAAAUUCAAGGGGACCUGCUAGGAGACAAACACCCACCGCGUCUGGCAAAUACUCACUUGAGCUUAAUUGCUGUAUCUGGCCAAAGCGAUGCUCAAGUGCAGAUUCAGGGGGAGCUGCUAGGAGACAAACACCCACCGCGUCUGGCAAAUACUCACUUGAGCUUGACUGCUGUAUCUGGCCAAGGCGAUGCUCGAGUGCAGAUUCAGGGGGAGCUGCUAGGAGACAAACACCCACCGCGUCUGGCAAAUACUCACUUGAGCCGCAUGCGCAGGAGUGACGAUGGACUUUGUCCCUAGUAUUCCCACCAGCAUCCUUCCAGACCACGCUCAAAUAUUUCGCCCUUGGGUUGUACAUUAUACUAGCAUUUGACCCAUCAUUCAUGACUUUGCUGAUCGUCCCUUGCACAAUGCCCAUGGACCUGAGGCCACGUGGAACGUCCGCAUCCAACGCAUUCUUGAAAUGGUCAACGUUGACCGCAGCACAAUCGCUGUUGGGACGAGCUAGACAACCCUGAGAAGCUAGAAAGAAGGCAACAACGUCGUUGAUGAAAGUGUUUACCUGUUGACGGUUGGCCUUUACCUGUUGAAGGUUGGUACGCUUGCCAGGGAAACGCUGCACAGGCACGGAGAAGGCCUUGUCCCCAAAAUGCUCUUCCCCGAAAUACACGGCUAUAACACCAUGAGGAUCAACAGAUAAGGCGUGUGCGUCCCCAAAAGGGUUUCCCCGUUGAGAGUCGGUGCUGGCCGUAUACUGGGUAGCACAAUCCACCACAUUCCCCGUAGCCUUGUCCCAAAAAUGCACUUUGCCGGAAUACGUAGCUUGGCCACUGAUGCCGUUGAGUGUUCCGUUCGGCUGGCUUGGGCUGAGGUAAGAAGGCCGCUCAGAAGCAUUCCCCUGAAUGACUAAGGGCCUGGGGAUCGCAAAAUCUGAAGAGGGCUUGAGCAGAGAGAUCAUCAAGACUAGUAGAACCAACGUGCGUGUGAGUGGUUGAGGAUGAUCUUUAUGUCUUCCAAAGCUUUCCAUGUUGGAUGUUCUAAGUUUCUAGAAGAUCUGGAUACCGCUUGCAAACUCAAAGCGCUGUGCGAAGCCGGGCGGGCAGGUUAAAAUCUUCAUUCUCAGCGCUCAGCUCAGAAAGAAGCGGUGGAAGUGAUAAUCGCUGCCGUGCGCCAGAAUCAAAUAACGAAUAGAAAACUGCACUCACCGCCGUUUCAGUCCUUCGUCGUCAAGAUCGGGCUCGGCCAGCGAACUUGGGCCUCAGAUUCUAGACAUAAGGUCGAACGAGCACAGGAGUUGUGAUGCUCAGCUCGACCUUGAAGACCAGGGUCGGCUCAGGCAACGAACGAGGUGGAGGCGGAGGUAGCGGCGUGGUCCGUCGACGCGGCGGAGGGCCUCGACCUCCUAGUCGACGUGGGCGUGAACGCAGAUCGUUGAAGUGGAGAGAAAGCGCGAGAGUCCCCUUUUUUCUUCUUGGGGAUUCAAGACCCAAGUUCGCUGGCUAAGCUCGGUCUCGAAGACGGAGGACUGAAACAGCGGCGAGGGGUGGACUGAGAUGGCGGUGGGGUGGUGGCGAUGAAAGGGUGUUGUCCCCGUCAGAGUGAGGAGGAAGAAGAAGCAAAAACAAGGAGUCCUACCCAAUAUUUUCUCAGCCGGUGAGGUUCGGUGAAUGCGAGCGCGAAUCAAAACGCGUCAAAAAGUCUUUCCAUGCCUUUUUUUUUUGGUCGACCUUUCCAUGCUUUUCUUAUCGGUGUUUGGGGUGUUUGGGCUGUGGAUUAGAAAUUAAUUAGAGAAAAGUCUAAGAAGAGGGCGCCAUCCCGUCACUUUAAAAGUUACCGGGUAACGCUGACCUCGCAUCUCAACUGUAGGAUAUUGGCAACAGGAACUCAACACUUCGAAGAUGUAAUUGCCAAAAAUGACCUUCAUGGGGAAGCUAGACCCAUUAAAGAAAAAAUAAACAUAAUCUACAUUCGUUACAUCACUAGGGCUCCAAUUGUUUUGGAGAAUGAAAUAUUAUAAAAAUUAUCGCUAUGCUACUAGAGAUAAUUUGUAAAAAAAUGCUUUCGUUACCCACAACAAUUUGUAUUUAAACAAAAAAAAAAAGUGCUUUCAUUACCCUUAGCAAUUUGUAUUUAUACAUUUUCUAGACGGUUCGAAUAUAUGUCAUUUAUCAGAUUUUCCUUCCUAAAAAAUACUUUUUAAUCAAAAUGCACGAUCGAUAAGUUUUGUCAAUUAUCGAAACAACCGAGGGACUAUUUUCUCCGACGGCUCGAAUCUAACCAACAUGUGGAAUGUCCACAUCCCAGAUAUUCUUGAAAGGAUCAGCCUCCCCAGCGUCACAAUAGCUCUUGGGAAGAGCAAGAUGGCCCUAAAGAGCACAAAGAAGGUGAAUGUGUUGCCGAAAGGGCUUCUUUGUUGAGAGUCGGUGCUAAACAUAUACUGGGCAGCGAAAUCCACCCCAUUCCGUGUGGCCUCGUCCCAAAGAUGCAAUUGCCCGGAAUACCUAGCUCGGCCACCGACGUCGUUUAGUCUCCGGUUCCACUGGCUUGGGCUGAAACGUAGGUAAGUAGACAGCUCGGAGGUAUUCCCCUGGACGUCUAAGAGCUCGAGGCUUUCAGAGCCAAAUGAGACAUUGAAAGAUGGAUUGUGAAAGUGUCUAGCUGAAGCGGAUAAGGUUUGAGUAGAGCCGUUAAACAGGUGGAUCGGGUCUGGGUCGGGUCAUUAAUAGUCCGACCCAAAUUGACCCAUUAACCCAUUUAUAACCCAUUUAUGUUUAAUGUAAAUUUUUCGAUCCAAACCCGACUCGACCCAUACCCAACCCAUACCCGACCCGACCCAACUCAUAUUAAUAAAAUAUUUUCAUAUUUAACAAAUUUAGAAAAACUUAUUCCUAUGUUUUUUUUUUAAGAUUAUACUAUUAAAAUACUUCCAAGCUUUUAUAUAUAUUAUUUUUUUUUAAAAUUGUAUUGCUAAAAUAGUUUUAUACAAUAUAAAUUUAAUGGACAAUUUUUAUAAAUUUUAAAAUAAUUAUUUAAAAAAUCGAAAUGUAAUUAUUUUUUAAAAUUAAAUUUUUAAUUAUUUUUAUUUUAUUUUUAAAAUAUAUUUUCUUUUUCUUUUUCUCUUUUCUUUUUUCUUUUUCUCUUUUUUCUUCUCCUUCUUCUUCUUCUUUGGCCGACUGCCGGCCACGACAACAGCUGGCAACCGGCCACAGGCGAGCCUCGAGCUCAUCGGCGUCGGCGAGCUCGAGGCUCGCCUGGCCGGUCGCUGUGCCGGUGGCCGAAAGGAGGAAGGAGAAAGAAAAAAAAAAAGAUUAAAAAAGAAGAAAAAGAAAAGAGAAAAUAAAAAAAAAUUAUAAUUUCGAUUUUUAUAAAGUUAAAGAGAGAAGGGAGGAAUUAUAAUGUUUUUGUUAAAGAUGAGUUUUCAACCCAACCCAUUUAAAAACCCACUUAAGACCCAUCUAUCUUAAACCUUUAAUUGUGAAACCCAUUUAACUAUCUUUUGUUUUAAACAAGUGACCCAUUUAUGACCCAUUUAAGAUUUAAAUGGGUCAUAAAUGGGUUUAUUACCCAUUUUAACACCUCUAGGUUUGAGCGAGGGAUUUUAAAGACUAGUACUAACAUCUUUGUUGGUCGCUAUGCAUUAUGGCGGUUGUCAUUCUCACCAUUCGGCUUUGAUAAAACUGAAAAAGUGGUGCGUGCACCAAAAUCCGGUGGUUAAAGUGACAAUCGCCAGGGUGUGCCAGACUCAAUAGCGAACAGAAAAUUGUACUCACUUGGCCUAGUUGGAUCAGAAAUUAUCACUGUGAACACAUAUUAAAUGAGUCAAGUCUCCCUAUUAAUCUUAUCUAUCGAUGAUCAGAUGAUUGGGCAAUGGAUCAUAAAAUAAUUAAGGGCAUCAUCACACGAAAAAGUAGACAAGUGAUAUUGUAAUCAGUCAAGUCUUCCUACUCAUUCGAACAAAAAAAAAAGUGUCUUCCUACUCCUAUCCAUCGAUGAUCGGACGAUUGGGCGGUGGACUAUAUAGAAAACAAUUAGGGCAUCAUCACCCGAAAAUGUAGAUCAGUACGCAAGUCUUCCUAUUGGAUUAGUUGUCGAUGUGAAAACUACUUAAACAUAGAAGGAUUGAGUUAUGCUAUCUUGUACAUGGAUCAGUUCAAAGGCAAUGUCUAUGUCUUGUUGGCAGAACCGUGGGAUCGCAGGAUUCUGUCGGGGUGCCAAACAAAUGGAAUUUUUUUUUCUGGUACUUGUAGAUUUCACUAAAGUGUUUAUAAGUAUUGACAAGCGUCAAAUAAUAUUGAUUAAGAAAAUGACAAGUGAGUUCAUUUUCCAAGUAACUCGUUGAUAAUUUUUUAACAUUUUUAUGAAACGCCAACUUCUUUAUAUAAUUUAUUAUCAAUUUUUUUAAGACUUUACCAUAGAGUCAUUCUACAUAUGCAAAACCUUGGUAACAUUUAAAAGAAUAAUUUAGUUUAAUUCAAUAUCUUCAAAUAUAUACAAAUCUAUACAUAUGGGACUACUUGAAGUUCACGUGGCAAUAACUUAUGAAGAAUAAUUCUCGAGGGCAAGGCAAAAAUUUUAUGACAAUUAGUCGCAAAAGAUUUAAAAUGACAUCAUUUGAUUUCAUAUAUUGCAGUUUAUGUAAUUAUAUGGGGAUCUUGUACACCAUGCCUCUGAAAAUUCUAUCAAUGACAUAAAAUGACACAUUAUUUACAAAUGCAUAUCAUCAUAAUUACAUGUAAAUAAUUGUUAAAUUGCGUUAACACGUAGGGCUAUUAGCCAUAAUCAUUAGGGUUUUUUUAAUUUAAUUGUGAAUAACAUCCUUCAGAAGCUAUAUGGUGGUUCCAAAAAGCCACAACUUCCCUAGGAAUGGAAGAGCAAGUUAUCCAGUUCCUAAGUAAAAGUGCCAUAACGUGAUGGGACCAUCUUGUUCAGAUUUUUCUACGAAUAAUUUUAAUAUAGGGGUUGUCUGAUUUAGUUGAACGAAUUUUACGUAAGCACUUACGCAUUCACUAGUCCUAUCGCAUUCUCCUAGUAAAUGAAAGCGACCCCAUCAAAACCAAAUAUUUGAGAGCGACUCAAAUUAAUAUCAUGACGUGUAAACAUUCAGACCAAAGAUAGAGUUCUUUCACAUUUAAAAAUGGUCAGGCACUGAAAUGCUUUUAUCUAAUGUAAUCAGGGCUUUAUCAUACCCCAACACUUUUGGGCCAAAAUAAACAAGAAUAAGAAAAAUAACAUGACCUCUCAAUUUCCACGAUUUACUCAUACGUACUCCAAAUCUCAAGCUAAACAGGCAGUCCACAUCAUAGCAUCCAAACUACUAAGGUCACGCCUCCAUCUAUAUAUAGAAUUUUAAACGGACUUGCGGUAAUCUGCAUCUAUGGAUCACUUAUUAAGACUAUAUCAAUGAUAUCAUGGAAAAGAUAAGGUUUAAUCACGUACAGAAAUUAGAAGAGGCCUCAAAAUGAAAAGGUGCCCUGGGCCUCUCGGAUCCAAUUAAUACACAGGUGAGAGAAUAAAAGUUCAAAGCUGCGGUUUGUUUUUCUUUCAGUCAUUGUGUAAGUCAACGAAUAGUGUGCAUAGUUGCGAGACUUUGGAAUUUCCGCACAAUUGACAAGAGGACCUUUGAUUAAUUUAUCAAUUUAAUCCUAAACUUUUAAAUAAUUUACCAAUUUAAUUAUAAAUCUUUUGACAUUUUGUCAAUGUAGUCAUUCUGGCUAAUCUUACUCGAAAAUUACAGUCAUAGUAACCUAGCUAGUGACAAUCGUCCACAUGAUUGACACUGAUUUGAACGGUUGUUGAAUUUUGUCCUUUAUUUUUCCUUUCUUUUUGUUCUUUUCUCCUUAUUUCCUCACAAAAUCUGGCAAGGGCAGCUCUCGCUAGCCACAUUAGAGGCCAGCAACCAGUAGAGGGAAAAAAGAAAAGAAGAAGAAAAUUAACAUAAGCCUCAUAUUGAGCCAAUUUAAAAGGUUGAGAUACUUGAUUGAGUAGAAAAUAAUAAAUAGACAACCGACAUUAGAAUGGGGAAAAAUUAUUCCUCACCAUCGGGAUUAGUUUUGACCCAUGCAGUAGCUCAUUUUGGCAAUUGCUUAUUUUGCUGACGGACUUCAUUUCAUUCGUAAGAGUAAAAUUCCGAUAGUAACUCAAGAUUUCUUUUGAAAUGACGCCGUUUGGCACGGUCAAAUCUAAGUAAAUAUUCUAAGUACUAUACAACAUUACAGUCGAUAGUAAAUGAGAUGUUGGAAGUUUGUUUGUUUACAAACAAAGUGUAUGUUUCCUUGUCGCACAUAGAAAAAGUAAAAGAAAGUGGGCCAAUUAAUAAAUGUGAGGUUUCUUUAGUGUACCUAAAGAAAUAAUUGAGUGUGGGCUAGACCUCAUCAUACUCUCGUUCAGUUUGCAAUCUUUCGCAAAGGGUUGCAUUUAUUCGUUUUUUCAACUUCUUUCUAAUGGACGCCUUUGUUCAUCUGCACAAUCUUUUGAAAGGAUGCAUUUGUUCAUUUUGCAACAUUUCACGAAGAGUUGCCACUAUUUAUACAUAUGUUCACUUUUCAACCUUUCAUGAAGAGUUGCCACUGUUUAUGUAUACAUGUCAGUUUUCAGAAGAACAAUGUGUGUGAUCAUUUUAUCUUUUCAAGCCUUCUUUCUGAAAGAAAAAAAAAAGCUACAGCCAUCUUUUCAAUUGUUUCCUAGAGAGAUCCUGAAAAAAAAUACUAGAAUUGAUAUUUAGUAUUCUCAUUUUGAGACUUUGUUGUAUCCUAGAGAAAAUUUGUCAGUGACUAUUCGUAACGUUGUGGGGCAGAUAAAUCUUUAAAAAAAAAAAUGAUAUCACACCUCCCGACUUCAUUUUUAUCCAAUUCAAAGCCACAUUUUCCCAACAUGAGAAAGGCGAGAGUACAACAGCUUUUUGAGAAUAACCUUUAUUUCAGUGAUAUACACAUAUAUCCCCCUUCAAAAGACAUCAUUUUCGAAUAAAAUAAAAGAUAGACAUCAUCGAGGCAUUUGCUUAAAGUCAAACACAUCCAGACGAGACCUUUCGAUCAAUAGAAAUAUGCUGGCAUCUUCCGCGGGAGCUUGGGAGGCUCUGCCUUCAAGUUUAAAACGUCCAUUGCCGUUUCAAUCGAAGGCCGAGACCUAGCAACGGGAUGGGCACACCACAGCCCCGCGAUCAUCAAAGCUUUCGCCUGUUUCUCGUCGAAAUUUCUGCCAAGCCUUGUGUCCACGGCAUCGAGCAACUUCGUGGGCCCAUAUUGCUCCCAAACCCACACUACAAGGUUUUCUGGGUCUCGUUUUAGGUCGACGGCUCUUCUCCCACGUACUAUUUCCAAAAGGACAACUCCAAAACUGUAGAUGUCGGAUUCUUUGCUUGCCUUCCUCGUUUGAUGGUAUUCAGGAUCCCAGUAACCCGGUGUUCCUACCACUCGGGUUGUCCUUUGCUCUCUGUUGUGGUGGCCGAGCUUAGCCAAGCCGAAAUCUCCCAAUUUGACUAUGAACGCUUCAUUGAGCAUAACGUUGCUGGAUUUGAUAUCUCUAUGAAUCACACAAUGAGGCCUUUUUUUGUGCAGGUAGCACAGUGCUGAGGCUAAUCCCAAAGCGAUGUUGUACCUCCUUUCCCAUGUCAACAAGGAGCUGCGUUUAAACAGAUGAUCGUACAAG